AAUAAAAAUGUUCAAACUUCCUUACAGCUCCAGUUGUUGGUCCCUUAAUACUUGUCCCUCACAACCAGCAAAACUUUCUUUGAUAACCGUCAUGUUUGGGCUAGCUUGCACCUUGACUAUUUACACCAGGUACUGCUACCUCCCACCAGUACAGAUACUGGGUAACUCUGUCCAUCAAGGCUUGGACAGACGGUAAGAAAUCACCUAGUGUUUUUAUCUUUGCUGGAAACUAAACCUGAGACCUCAUGGUUCUCAAUCUACUUCAUUGACCACUAGGUCACACUCUUGGGUGCAAGUGUGCAACCAGCCAAACUAUUAUUCUGUAAACCAGAAUGAGAAGUGUGAACUGUAAUAUUAUAUCAAGUUUCCUCUCUCCAUAUCUCCAUAGAGUUACAAUAACAUUACAUUAAUCAGAAAGUAAAUAAAAUUGUUUAAAAUAGACCAAAUAUAAUCCUGUCGUGUAUGCUUAAACACAUUUUUUAGAACAAUAGUGUUAAAUAUAAAAUCUUUUAGAACUAUAUUGGAAAUAAAAGGUCAAUGCAAAUCCCAAAUGAAGCCUACAUAGUAUAGUAAGAUCGAGGAAAUCUGCUCGCUAAACAAACUUUCAACAGAAAUCACAUAUACUUAGGAAAGAAAAAGUGGUUCUACAAAGCUUCAUAGAAAAAGAAUUGUGUACUUCUUUUUUCAUUGAUAAACACAAGAAACUGGAUAAAACUACCUAUAAAAAUCUCUAUGACACGAGACCUCACCUCCAUUUCUGUCAUCAGCUCUCGAGGUUUCUCCCAGGUUGAGAUUCUUGUCCUUCUUUUAUAAUAGUAUCAAAAAAUCAAUUCAAGAAUUGUAAGAAUGUUAUUAAUUGGUUGGAGUAAUAAAGCCAUAGGAAAUAUGACAACAUUAGCAACCAUAAUUGGCCUACUGAUCAUCAAAAGAUGCUGAAAAUAGCAAUACCUACUAGCAUUUAGCCAUAUAUAAAAUAUGUAUGAUAAUAGAGAAAUAGGGUCAAAAUGAAGUUAUUGGUAGAGGUGUAUCAAGUUCUUCUGAUCAACAGUCAGGUAGAAUUUGGUAGCGGUGAACGGCAGCCCAUAUGAUAACUUUGACAAAGAGGACUGAAACAUAGGGGCCUAUUAUCUCCAGUGCUAAUGGAAGCAGAAUGAUGUACAAAGCACUAGAUGUGGAUACUUGAGGGAUUUCUUGGCAGUGAUGAGGGCCAACAUAUCCACCACUUGUUCAUAGACAAGACAUUAAGUGUUUGUGAUGCAGAUAUUAACUUAUUCAUAUGAGUAACCUAUGUGAAUAUAAUCCAAAAGCAAGAAUUCCAGAAAGCCAAAUCCGCAUGCUCUUUUUUCUUUCUGGAGAACACAAAGUGGUAAAAAGAUUGGAUCUAAAUGAAAAUGAUAUUUUUGCAGAGCUCCUUUUCUUGUAUACCGCAGUUUUACACCUUUUUUAUUCACUGGAAUCUUAAUUUGCUUACAAAAAACUAUCAUAGAAUUCAAAUGUUGACUCUCUCAGUCAACACACAUACCCAUUAACCCAUUAACUUAAGCAUGUUACUUGUUAACAAUAUUUAUGCAAAACGGGUACAAUAAAACACAUUGAAUUCUCACAGGAACAACCAAGGAAGCUGCUAAUUCUCCAGUCUUCUGCAUAGUUGUCAUAGAAUUCACAUUAUGAUUACUUAUUGGCAUCCAGGGUUGUACCCCAGAUGGAAACCUAUGAUCAUUUAUCUGUGUUUGAUACUAGGAGCCAGAAGAAUCUACAUUUACCUGCUGUUAAAGAUGAUAACAAAAUGUAUUUCAUCAAUAUAUGAAUGAAACAUUGGAAACUGAUUGACAAUAACCAUAAAAGAUCUUCCCAAGGCCUUACAUUAUAUGAAGAAGAAAGAGGUAAAUUUGGGCCACCAGAACCAGGCAUGUGGUUAUUUGACAUUGGAAGAUUUCGCUGAAAAUCAUGGGGAAUAGGUGGUCUCUAAGGCAUACUAUGCAUUCCUACUACAGUCUACCAGUAACCUAUUGCAUAGGUUAAGGAAAUUAGAUUUGAGAAGGUUGAGACAUCGCAACAUUUGCAUGUCCAAGUGGUAGAAAUUGUUUAGAUGACCCGGAACCAUAAGGUUGUGCCUGUGGGCUGUAAGCAUAUGCUGGAAUUGCUAAAGAUGUGGGAAAAAUAGUUAUCAUAAUGUCUCUACAUUCAAAAGUCAUUUAUCCCUCCCCCAAACCUCCACAACUUUACCUACAGUGACAUGGAUGGAAUAGUACCAUGAGCAGGACCAGCCAGAGGAAGUAUAGGAGGCUUCUCAACUAAUAUCCAUGCAAGGAAGAACGGAUGAAAUCAGAAUAUAGCUACUUUUCAAUCAUAUUUAGUUAAUUUUCCAAUCAAUGUUGAAAUCUUGUAUCCAUGCGCAACUCCCUAAAUUAAUUUGAAGGACAGGGCAAGAAUUUUGAAGCCAAACCACAUAGUAACAUGAAACCCUUUUCUUUAUCUAAUAAAUAGAAAGCUUGAAACGAGAAUAAAGAGAGAUAGGAAAUAGAUGACCUAUCACAGCGUUAGACGAGAAUGGACAAAAUGAUAAGCAUCUUUACCUUAUGGCUUGGGUUCAACAGCUACUGAUGGCCUAAGUAUCUUUUCUUCGAGUGUAAAGAAGCACGUCUGUUAAUGCAAAACCAUGAUCAUGGAACUGAAACGUGAGGUAUGAGUAGGUAUUAGGAUAACUAAAAAAUACUGAGACCGAAAUGGGUUGAGCCUCACUCUUACCUUCUGAUGUUCUAUGUCAUACUAACAUCACUACUAGAAUCUGAAAGCCUGACUUGGUUAUUCUCUCUAUCAUCUCCCCCUUAGCUUCAAGCCAUCAUAUUAAGUUUGGGAGAUCCCUUACUAGACUUUAAACUGAAGUCACUCACUGCACUCUGGGGUCUGGGAAACUACUAUGCACGCAUAUCAUGGCACUUAACCCGAAUGACUACACCUGAAAGUGGAAAACCCACUGUUAAUACUACCUUCUGAGAUACAUUUUAUCAUUCUAUAGACCCAGUAGUCAUCAUAUAAUAGUUGCAUACUUACUAACUUCGGGUCUUCAUGGGUAUCCCCAUAGUAGUGCUUUAACUCUUAUUUCUAUUAGUUCAACCUUCAAAAACUCAAACUAAGAAUCUAGCACUCAACAUGGAUAUCACCAAGCCUUCAAUGAAUCAUACUACUUCCGACAUAGCCUACCAAUAUCGCGACUCCAAACUUAAAUCUCUCUACUAUGAGAAUCAAGAUCAUAUAAAAAGGCUCAACACUAUCAAUCAAAACUUCUUAACUUAGCUAUUUAGAACACCAUAUACCAUCUAACCAGCCUUUCUCCACCUAGCAACUCAAUGGUACCACUCGUCACACAAAACGUGUAAUAGUCUUAGAAAAUACCGCAACCUCAGAUCACCUUGGGCAUACUUCUACAUUAUAUAUACAACAUCAUACUUCACUACGAAUCAAAUAAACUUANNNNNNNNNNNNNNNNNNNNNNNNNNNNNNNNNNNNNNNNNNNNNNNNNNNNNNNNNNNNNNNNNNNNNNNNNNNNNNNNNNNNNNNNNNNNNNNNNNNNNNNNNNNNNNNNNNNNNNNNNNNNNNNNNNNNNNNNNNNNNNNNNNNNNNNNNNNNNNNNNNNNNNNNNNNNNNNNNNNNNNNNNNNNNNNNNNNNNNNNNNNNNNNNNNNNNNNNNNNNNNNNNNNNNNNNNNNNNNNNNNNNNNNNNNNNNNNNNNNNNNNNNNNNNNNNNNNNNNNNNNNNNNNNNNNNNNNNNNNNNNNNNNNNNNNNNNNNNNNACUAAGAAUACACAUCUUACUCUGUAUAAAUAAAAUCAAAGUCAAACACUUCCUCCACGGACUACCAUACCAUCCACACAUGCUACUAGUUACCACAUUAGUCUAUUUCCAUAAGGGGGUAAAUCAUUCUCGAACAUCGGUUAUUCAACUAAAAUAUUCAUUUACAAAAAGUCACCCUCGCUCUGACUUCUAACUUUGUGACUUCACAUCACCAACUUCUUGGUCUAAUUUCACUACCAAUAGGUCAUGACAACAACACUUUAACGCAUACUACUAUUCGAGUGGAAAUACAGUUCAAACAUUCUACUACACAUCAUCCCCCCCCCCCUUUAAGUAAGACAUUUGUAACAUAAAUUUAAAGGGGACUAAAUGCAAUUAAUACCUCAAGAUGAAAGGCAAGAUUCCAUCAGAAUCAAUGUUUACAUCGGAAUCAAUACACAUUGAAGCACUAAUGGACUCUUCUGAAGUCCUUGCACAAAUUUUAACUCUUAUAUGGUUCAAUCAGAAAGGACCAUACCAUUUAGAUUCUAAACUUCUGCACUUGAAUCACCUCAAUAAUGAGACAUAUCUGAGGACAUUAGAGUAAGGAAAGAAUUUGGGAUGAUUUUUUUUUUACUUUCGUAUGGGCGACACCAUAGCACGAAUUAGAGUAUGAAAGAGAAACAUUCUAACUCUAUUGCACGAACUAGAAAGAGAGAUAUUCCUAAACGCCUACUAGCCUCUUGCUUAUAAGUGUGGCGCAUUAUACACCCAUAAACAAGACUCUACCCGACGCGAUUUCACAGACACCCUGGGACCAUGAACCGUGCUUUGAUACCAUGUUGUCACGACCCGAACUGGGGCCCUGGCCAUGACAAGCAUUCCGAACCAUGAAGGCCCAAAACACCCCUAUCUAUCUGGCAAUCAUGCACAUAAUUCAUAUGAUAAUAAGAUAUGCAGAAGAUACACAAUAUUAUUAAAAGCAUGGUCAUAAAUCAAAUGAAAUCAACAAAGGGGAAAUGAUGUCCCACAACAUAUAUCGACAUCUGAACAAUCGUCUAUGAAAUCUCUAAAACAUGACUGAAAUAAAUUACUGUCUGAAAACUGGGACAAGGCCCCCAGUAGACCCAAAACUACUAAAUGAUAAAUGAAUUGACAGACAUCAGGCCUUCCAAAAUAUAGAAGGCUCACCACUUGAUUCUACAAAUCUGUCGGAAGAGAUCUAUUAGAUAUCUGGACCCCUAAACUAUGCCUCCAAACCUGGGAGGGAAGUGGGUCAAUACAAAAGUACUAGUACAUAGAGAAACCAAAAAAAAUAUAAUAUUUCUUUCCAAAUAUAGGUGACAGCCAUUAUAAAGCAGUUCCAUAUCAAAUCAUUUGAAAACACAUAGGCAUAAUGUAAUAAUUUUCAACAUUAAUGUAAUGCAGCUGAGCUAGGUACAAUACCCUACAUAUAAUAUUUAAACCAACUAUCAAAUCUUGGUUGCCGCCAAGAUCAGAGUAUAAGUGAGGGGAAGACACACAAGAUCACACAGCAGGAUGUCUCGACCCAAUAAAGUAUAGUAGUGCCCAAGAUCACUUAGCCUGGGCUCUUAACCAUAGUCCCAAUUUUGGAAUGACAUAAAGUCAAGUACACAAGAUCACUUAGCCUGGUACCAAAUCCCCAUGUCAGCAAACACGGUUUCCAUCGAUGAGACUUUACACUCAAACACCUUCUUCGGGCAUUCACCUAUCUCAUGUAAAAUCAAUGCAUCAAACUCCAUUUAAUUCAAUCACAUAUCUUAUUCUGUAGGGUAUCGUCAUACCCGACUUGGAAGCCUUCAAUAUCACAUCAUUCUUUCAUGCAACCAUUAUAUUCAUCAUAUUUCAACAUAACAACCCUCUCGUUGCAAGUCAAAACCAUGACCAUUUUCAAAAAAUUCAUGUCAUGCUUGUCAAGAUGAUUUCAAACAUUUCACAUCAUUUGAUAAUUUAAAACGAGAUCAUAUAAAAGAGGGAUUUCAUAUAAUUCAUGCUCUCAAGUUAACAUCUUUUCGGAAUACAUGCAUAUACAUAUAUUAUAUAUCAAACCACUUUGGGAAUAGGCCUAAAGACCAAAUGAAUAUAUAAAACGUUCAAAACGGGAUUAUUUCAUAAUUUCAAAACCCCCAUUUUUAAAACAUGAAUUUUUAAGCCCAUGAGAUUUUUGAGAUAACCCCACGUACCUCUAUAUGUGAAGAUGAUAGGUGCUUCUUGAAGCCUACGUUCUGGGGAUUCCAAAUAUGCAAUUAGUUUCAAAAACUCAUGGUUGAAUCUUGAGUUGCUUGGAUUCUUAUUUUGAAACCCUAAGGAGAGUUCUUGAGCAAUUUUGAUGAAUGAAGGUGUAUUUUGGGGUAUUUUGGGUGAGUGAGUCCUCACCUGAGCGAUUUCAAUCACCUAGCAGGCCUUUUAUUUGGUAGGUAACAUCGCCAAAGCGUAUCAUCAGAUUUGACUCCGAAGGAAGGAACUCGAAGUGAAAGGGCACCGUCUUAUGCAAGGCAACGAUAGUUGGCCCUCUAUCAUUUUCUAUCUGGUAGACUUGGUAAAAGGGCCCCGACUUAUUUCCAGAAUUUGAGUUCGACCGCAGAUUCCCCUUUUUGGGGAUCAAGUUCCUUGCCAACUGCCACUUAUCGACUCCGAUCUCUUUUCAUUUGUUUUGGAUAUUACCAAACCUAGCCUAGCCUUGCACAAUUUUAGAUUAGGUUUGACGUGUGAAUGUCACUUGCCAUGACAUGAAAAUUAUAACCAAUCAUAAACAUGUCAUUCAAGAAAAAAAGAAUCAUUUUUUUUUAUGUAUGAUAGACAAACAUUAUCUAAAUUAUCUUCAAUCGUCUCGAGACCCAUAAAAAAAAUAUGUAUUUAAUUACUAUUAAGUUAUCUUUUCACAUUGCAUCUCAGAAAAUUAUGAAACUUUAAAACUGCAGAAAAUUAUGAAAGUUUAAAACUGCAACGAAACAAAUAUUUGCAUGAAUCGAUAAUUUUCGCAUACUAAAUGAUCAUAGCUCGAUAUUACCAUUAUUUUGCACAACAAUAAAAUUGGUCGAAGCAAACAUGAUUUAUUAGUUUACAAGAUCAGUUUAUUGACUUUGCCUCCAAUACAUCUUUUAUCAUAUGAUCUACAAGAGUAGAUACGUUUAUUACCAAACUACAAAUACAAAUUCUAACGUUUGAAGGAAGCAGGGGUGACUCAAGGGUGAGGCUAGUAAAAAGUCUUUGUUUUAGGGCCCCAAAAUCUCAAGGCCUCAAAAAAAUUAAUUGUUAAUUUUAUAAUUUUAUUUUAUUUUUGACAAUAUUGAAUAUAGUAAAAAAAAAAAAACUAUAAUCAUUCAAUAGAAAUAUUUUGAAACUUAAACUACCCAAAUCUUUAUAAUAAUAAAUAAUAUGUUUAUAAUAACAUCCAAGGCAAUGUAUUGAAAAUACAUUGCUAUCGUAUUAUUAACUUGAAUCAAUCAUUACUAUUAUAAAUAAUAAUAUUACUAUGUGAAAUAUAGCUUUAGGCCACUAAUUUGUCUUUGAAAGGAAGAUCUUCCUAUUUAUAAUUUUAACCCAAUAUCUCUCGUAUAGGCUUCUUUGAUUCACAUUUUUCUAUACAUAAAACUAAACACGAACUUUUGUUUUCCUUUUGUAUUCGUUCUAACAUGUGAACCACUUCUCUCAUCUCUGGCUUCCUUUUGUAUUCGUUCUAACAUGUGAAUCACUUCUCUCAUCUCUGGCCUAUUUUGUGAUUUUAUAUCCCAACAUUUCUUCAUUAUAUCUGAUAAUAUUGUUGGACAAGAUUUUAGAAUAUCAAGCCUUUGAUUUUUGAAAAUUUGAUGUGAAAUUUUACUACGACAAAUGUGUUCAGGACACGAGUACAUUUCCCAUAAACAAAUUGCAAAGCCGUAGAAAUCACAGUUCUGGUAUCACUCAAAACCUCAGGAGCUAAAAUAAAUAAUUAAGUAAAGUUAAUUUUGAAAUAUUUAUUUUAUUUUUAUUUUUAUUCUAAUUUUUAAAAUAAAUAUAUGUAUUUUCCUUUUAUAAAUUUUAACAAAUAAACUAAUAGUUUUAUAAUUAUUUUAUUAUAUUUGUUUUUGCCUUAUUAUUACUAAUAUUUUUUAUAUAUAUAGAAAAUAAAAAUAAACAUUUUAAAAAAUAUAUAAUAAAAAAAAAGAACGGAAAUUUUUUUUUUGAAUUUUAAUUCCCCACCCAAAUAACCUCGCCGGCCCACACUCCCCGCUCCUCAGCCUGCCUAGGAACCCCCAAUACCUCAGGAGCCAUGUAGCUGAUUGUGUCUGAUGUUCCAAACAUAGGCUAAUACAAGAGAGAAAAACUUACUAGAAAUAGAGAUACCAAAAUCGAUCAUCUUGAUUCUUCCACUUUUGUCAAGAAGUAAAUUCUCAGUCUUCCCAUCUCUAUGCACAAUCUUCUCGGAAUAAAGAUAACAUAAACCAUUACCAAUGUCUAGUGCAAGUUGAAUAAGAGUAUUCAAUCACGGCUUCUUCUUCAUUGAGCGUUUGGAAAGAUAGGAUAUAAGAGUAGCAACAUAUUCUACAACAAUGCAACAUACAUCUAUGGGUAGCACAAAACCUUUUUGACAUUUCAUUUUUUAUCUCUGACGUAUUGUUCUUCUUUAUAGCCGAAUGAACUUUGCUAUAUUUGAGUUCUUCUUUAUAGCCCAAUGAACUUUGCAAUAUUUGAGUGUUGAAGAGUGCACCAAAUAGAAACUUCCUGCAUGAACACCUCUUCCGUUAAUUUCGUUCUUCCUUCUGUUGGAUUCUUUUUUCCGUCUCUCAUAUCAAAUAUUUUAACUGCAACCUUUUUUCCAUCGUAAAUACCUUCGUACACAGAUGCGAACCUCCAAAGCGAAUGAGCUUACUGACCGUGAGUUUUCGAGCAUCCAGUUCCCAUUUUUCUUUCUUCAUAUUAUCUUCCGGAAAAACUUUGUUCAUGACUUCAGUAUUGUAUUGUAACUACUAACCCUAAGUAAAAACCCUAUUUACGAUCUAAUGUAGUAGUAAUAAAGAAACUUAUUAGUACUUGUAAUAAUGAAGAAAGCAACUAAUAAGCUCCGACUAUUAUAUAAGAAAAUAAAAUAAGGAUUUGGCCUUAGCUAUUCUCCUAUUUUGUAUGGGAAUAGGAGCACUUCCGAAGUUUUCAAAAUAAACAAUUUUUUUCGUAAAUAUUAAGCUUUCUCCAAUUUUGUAUUGGAAAAGGUUUAGGAAAGUUUCUUAAAACAUUAAUUAAGGAUUACUUAAGUUAUAAAAUCUUACAUUUUAUCUAAAAUCUAUAAUCUAUAUAGGAGUAUAAUAUACUAUAAGUGUGAAGAGUCUUAAAAAUAUCUUUUGAACUUUUUAUCCUUCGUUAAAAGUCUUUAUUUUAGACAAAUCGUCUUUUUACUAUUUUUUCUUAAUAUUUAAGAGUUGAAAAUUAAUUAAAUCUAUAUAUGGUAAAACCUUUCCUUUUAGAAAUUAUCAGAAUUAAUGAUGUUAAAUACCUAUUUUAACAAUACAAAGAGUCCUAAUAUCUAUAAUCUUAAACCUAAUCCAAGAAAAAGACUAAAGAACGUUAAAAGUAUCAAUUAAUUGGUAAUAAAAGAAUUUCAAACUUAGAAAUUUCUUUGGGCAUAAAAAAGAUAUAAUACGAAAAGAAUUUUAAAAAAAAAAAGAUUAAAAUUGAAUUUUAUUGUCGACAUACAUAUGACCAAAAAUAAAAAAGAGGCAGUUUUUUUUUUUCAAGAAUUAGUGUUGGUAGAUUUUCUUUUUUCGAUAUCAAUAUUUAUACUAUAUUAAAAAUGAAAGGAUCUUAGAAAUAUUGUUUGAUUUUUUACGAAUUUUUUUCGUCUUAUGAUUCCAAACUUUACCAUUAACUGUUGUAUGUGAAAUAUUUGAUUGUGGGGAUAUUCAGAGGAAGAUGUUCAAAAAAGGAAAAACUUGCGUAGAAUUUAUUUUAUCACCUCAUUUAUAGAAGGAAUGUGCAUCAUAAGUGUGUUUAGUGUAGCUAAAAUGAACGAAUUGAUUAGGCACUAAAAAAAUAUAUAUAUUUCUUAUGACAAUUUUUGUGCCGGCAUCAGAUGUGGAUAAAAUUUUAUAAUAACAACAACUGUUUACAAUUAUUAGCUUUUGUAUGGCGCUCUUUUUCUUUAUUGUACGUAGUAGUUAAAUAAUAUUGAUAAGCUAAUGCAAGUGAGGUGUUGGGUGUUUCUAGGGGCCGGGCCGGGCACCAUCGGGGGGAUUGAUGGUGGAAUGAAGAGGUGGAGAAGAAAGUGGGGAACAAGAAAGGGGCGUAUGCUAAGUUGGUGGAGAGUAAGGACGAAGAGGAGAAGCGGGUAAACAGGAAAGAGUACAAGCUAGCGAGGAAGGAGGCGAAGUCAGCGGUCACGGCAGCUAAGACGGCCGCUUUUGAGAGCUUGUAUGCAGGGUUACAGGGGAAAGGAGGGGAGAAAAAGUUGUUUAGACUCGCUAAGGCUAGGGAGAGGAAGGGUCGUGACCUCGAUCAGGUGAGGUGCAUUAAGGGGGAGGACGGUAGAGUGUUGGUGGAGGACGGCCACAUUAAGAAUAGAUGGCAGUCGUACUUUCAUAGGCUCUUGAAUGACGAAGGGGAUAGAGCUAUUGUGUUAGGGGAACUGGAGCACUCAGAGGAGUGUCAGGAUUUUAGCUAUUGUAGAUGUUUUACGGUAGAAGAGGUUAGACAGGCUGUCCGCAGGAUGCGAAGGGGUAGGGCGACGGGGCCGGAUGAGAUACCGGUGGAGUUUUGGAAGUUCGUUGGAGAGGCUGGUGUAAGGUGGUUGACUGGAUUGUUUAAUGAAAUCUUCAAGACGGCAAAGAUGCCCGAGGCUUGGAGGUGGAGUACNNNNNNNNNNNNNNNNNNNNNNNNNNNNNNNNNNNNNNNNNNNNNNNNNNNNNNNNNNNNNNNNNNNNNNNNNNNNNNNNNNNNNNNNNNNNNNNNNNNNNNNNNNNNNNNNNNNNNNNNNNNNNNNNNNNNNNNNNNNNNNNNNNNNNNNNNNNNNNNNNNNNNNNNNNNNNNNNNNNNNNNNNNNNNNNNNNNNNNNNNNNNNNNNNNNNNNNNNNNNNNNNNNNNNNNNNNNNNNNNNNNNNNNNNNNNNNNNNNNNNNNNNNNNNNNNNNNNNNNNNNNNNNNNNNNNNNNNNNNNNNNNNNNNNNNNNNNNNNNNNNNNNNNNNNNNNNNNNNNNNNNNNNNNNNNNNNNNNNNNNNNNNNNNNNNNNNNNNNNNNNNNNNNNNNNNNNNNNNNNNNNNNNNNNNNNNNNNNNNNNNNNNNNNNNNNNNNNNNNNNNNNNNNNNNNNNNNNNNNNNNNNNNNNNNNNNNNNNNNNNNNNNNNNNNNNNNNNNNNNNNNNNNNNNNNNNNNNNNNNNNNNNNNNNNNNNNNNNNNNNNNNNNNNNNNNNNNNNNNNNNNNNNNNNNNNNNNNNNNNNNNNNNNNNNNNNNNNNNNNNNNNNNNNNNNNNNNNNNNNNNNNNNNNNNNNNNNNNNNNNNNNNNNNNNNNNNNNNNNNNNNNNNNNNNNNNNNNNNNNNNNNNNNNNNNNNNNNNNNNNNNNNNNNNNNNNNNNNNNNNNNNNNNNNNNNNNNNNNNNNNNNNNNNNNNNNNNNNNNNNNNNNNNNNNNNNNNNNNNNNNNNNNNNNNNNNNNNNNNNNNNNNNNNNNNNNNNNNNNNNNNNNNNNNNNNNNNNNNNNNNNNNNNNNNNNNNNNNNNNNNNNNNNNNNNNNNNNNNNNNNNNNNNNNNNNNNNNNNNNNNNNNNNNNNNNNNNNNNNNNNNNNNNNNNNNNNNNNNNNNNNNNNNNNNNNNNNNNNNNNNNNNNNNNNNNNNNNNNNNNNNNNNNNNNNNNNNNNNNNNNNNNNNNNNNNNNNNNNNNNNNNNNNNNNNNNNNNNNNNNNNNNNNNNNNNNNNNNNNNNNNNNNNNNNNNNNNNNNNNNNNNNNNNNNNNNNNNNNNNNNNNNNNNNNNNNNNNNNNNNNNNNNNNNNNNNNNNNNNNNNNNNNNNNNNNNNNNNNNNNNNNNNNNNNNNNNNNNNNNNNNNNNNNNNNNNNNNNNNNNNNNNNNNNNNNNNNNNNNNNNNNNNNNNNNNNNNNNNNNNNNNNNNNNNNNNNNNNNNNNNNNNNNNNNNNNNNNNNNNNNNNNNNNNNNNNNNNNNNNNNNNNNNNNNNNNNNNNNNNNNNNNNNNNNNNNNNNNNNNGAUUCCGUGUUCCAUGUUGUAUUACGUAUCUGUGUGCUUUCGCUGUAUUAUAUGACUUAUGGGUGCCGUAUUUAUGUUAUGUAAUCUUGUGUUGUGCUUUACUAUGUGUUUGUGUGGUAUCUCGUGCCUUGAGCCGGGGGUCUAUCGGAAACAGCCUUUCUACUUCUUUAGAGGUAGAGGUAUGGACUGCGUACAUCUUACCCCCCAAGACCCCACUAGGUGGGAAUACACUGGGUUUGUUGUUGUUGUUGUUGUAUCUAGAUGAAUAUAUUUAGGUAUGAGAUAAUUACUUAAUUCUUUUUUAAUGUAAAUUUAAAAUGAUGUUGGAUAAAUUCAAAUGCAAAAGUUUCAACGUAUGAAUUGACUUUGUUUUAGAAUUAACCUUAAGUUAAAGUUUAUUUAACUAACUAAAUAUAUAGGUUAGAAAAGAAAUCUUUUUACUACAUACCUGGAUAAAUUAUAACACAACUCAACUACUCACUAAACCAAUGUUCAUAAGAUAUAAUAUUUUCAAGAGCUUAUGAAUAGAGAACAAAGAAAACAAUAAUUUAUAAUAUGAGACCUCAUAAUAUUUUUUUUAAGUAAAAGAUCAUAUACAUUAAUACAUGUAGAUAGCAAAAUUUAUGCACGAACAAUAUCCAACUACAUUAAAUGUAAAAUUAGUUGACUAUAUAUAAGUCUUUAUUAUUUUAAUAUAAUUUUUAUAAUAAAAAAGAUAUACUUAAGUCUUUACUAUUUUCCAUAAUCUUUGAUAUUCGUGCAACGCAUAAGCGUACAAACUAAUUAAUAAAAUGGAAAAAGGUCAGAAAUAUCCUUCAAGUAUUGAAAUUGGGUCAGAAUACCCUUCGUUAACCUAUUGGGCCAAAAAUACCCUUCAAGUAUUGAAAAUGGUUCAAAAAUACCUCUCCAUCCACCUUUAUGGCUCAAAAAUAUCCUUGCAACUAACGGUUUUUAAAAAUCAUAAUUAAAAUUUUGAAAAAGAGUCAGAAAUACCCUUUAAGUAUUGAAAUUGGUUCAAAAAUACCCUCCAUCCACAUUUAUGGCUCAAAAAUACCCUUGCAACUAACGAUUUUCUUAAAUUAUAAAUAAUUUUUUUUAAAAUAUGAGGCAACUUUCACUUAGUUGAAACUAAAUUAAUUAAAAUGUUAUAUCCAAUUCGGCCCCAACUCAAGCUAUCCAAUCCAAACCGUAUAAAUUGAAUCCUUGGUAGUACAUACAUCAUAAAAGUUCCUUGGCCAGAUAUACAUUCCUGAUAGAAAUUGGAUCCUUAUGAUGCUUUGUAUCACUAUGACUGCUGGAUUCAGAAAUCAAAGCCAAAUAGGCAACGCAUAUGGUAAGUAUGUGUAUUGAAUAUAAUAUUGCUUGACUUGUUUGACUUCACCUGAUGCAAAAUACAGAUAAAUGUGAUGUAGCCGGUUGUGUGGGUGCUGAGACUGCUGCUUAAGAUCCUAAUUUACUUCUUUGCGCUUUCCAUCUUACUUGUCAUUAGUACUUCUGUUUUGCUUUAAAAGAUACAUGCAUUCAAUCUCUUGAAUGAUGGUUCUAUAUAUCCUUCUGGAACCGUAACAAUUAAUCAUAAUUUUGAUCGGUGAGUGAUAUGAAGUGUGUGGCGUGAGGUGGUCUCGCACGGGGAAUGCACGUGCCAGUGAUGGCAAGAUAAUUUGAUAUGUAUAAACAAAAAUAGUGACAACUAUUUUGAAAAAAAUGUAAUAUUUUUUCGAUACAAACUAAAGGUGUCACGUAAAAUGAAAUGGAGAAAGUAACAAAAUAGUGUUGCCUAAGACGUGGCACAAUCAAGACAUCUCAAUUAGUUUUGCUAGUUAACACAGAGAAAUAUACAUCACAAAGAAAUACGAAACUAAAAUUAUAAGUAGUGGAUUCUUCACAACAUUACAUUAGAUUGGCAUAUUCUAAGUUAACAAAGUUCUUGCAUUUGAUAGCAAAAAUUAUACAUACUAUCGGAUAGUUUUAGUUGGGGCAAAUUUUAUACGGUUUGGAUCGGGUAGCUUGAGUUGGGGCCGGAUUGGAUAUAACAUGUUAAUUAAUUUAGUUUCAACCAAGUGAAAGUUGUCACGUAUUUUACAAAAAAUUAUUUAUGAUUUAAGAAAAUUGUUAGUUGCAAGGGUAUUUUUGAGCCAUAAAAGUGGAUGGAGGGUAUUUUUGAACCAAUUUCAAUACUUAAAGGGUAUUUCUGACCCUUUUUUGAAUUUUUAAUUAUGAUUUUUAAAAACCGUUAGUUGUAAGGGUAUUUUUGAGUCAUAAAGGUGGAUGAAGAGGUAUUUUUGGACCAUUUUCAAUACUUGAAGGAUAUUUCUGACCCAAUAAAUUAACGAAGGGUAUUUUUGACCCUUUUUUGUUAAUAAAAAUUGGUAUAUUGCAUAAACCUUUUGAGUUCUAACUGCUAUCAAUAAGAAGUUAUUGAUACGAACAAUUUAUUUUUAUUGUGCUAAUUCUUCAUUAAUAAUUAAUGUUAAUAACUUUCACUUUUUUUUGGGUUAAGAAAUAAAUUUAUGUUACACCUUUUUUACUUCAGAAAUAAAUUCUAAUAUGUUUUAUAUAUAGGUAAGUUCAUAUAACGUAUAUUUUUUUAUCGAUAUGAUCCCAUGGUUAACUGAUAGUUCUUAUUUUCCCUCGGCAGGGGCGGAUCAAGCAUUGGGGAUGGGGUUCUCGAAAACCCACAGCAUUUUCGUAUAUUUUGUAAUAAUAUUAAAAAAAAAAUUUAUUGAAUAUAUAAGAAUAAUAAGUGAGGAAUUCACUAACAAAUUUGUUAGUUGGCUUAGUGGUUCAAAAGGAACUUGAAGAAGUGUCUCACACGCUUAUAUCCUGGAUCCGCCUCUGUAGCUCGGUACACUAAAGCUUCUGUCAUGCAUUUGGGUUCAAGGAAAAAGCGAACCACAAGGCUUAACUUCCUUGCAUUUUUGCAAGAGGCUAUUUCCAUGGCUUAAAUUCAUGACCUUCUGAUCACACGACAAUAGCUUACCAAUUGAUGCAAGACUCCCUUCUUGGUAUUUAUCGUCGUAUAUAAUCAUUAUAUUAAUCUCUCCAACAAAAAGAGAUUUAAUUUCUAUAUUGUUAGUUCUUGUCAUAUAUACCUCAAAUCUCUUUCCAUUGCAGAGAUUAAUAAAACGAUCCCAUGACAAUACAUAACAAAUUUUAAUGUGGGAUUUCUUUUAAUUAAUUAUUUUUAAAGUGUAUAAAUUCCAAGAUAAACUAAGUCAACAGUUUAAACACAUUCUCAUUAUUAAGUUGGUAGCCAAAUAGAUAUUAGAGUAACUGGUAAAGUUGCCUCCAUGUGACCAGGAGAUCACGGGUUCAAGUCUUGGAAACAGCCUAUGGCAGAAAUGCAAAGUAAGCCUACGUAUGAUACACUCUUGCGGUGGGGUCCUUCCCCAGGAGGUCACGGAUUCAAACCUUGGAAACAGCCUCUGGCGAAAAUGCAAGGUAAGCCUGCGUACGAUACACCCUUGUGGUGGGGCCCUUCUCCGUAUAGGAUACACCUUUGUGGUGCGGUUCAAGUCUUGGAAACAGCCUCUUGCAGAAAUACAAGCUUCGAUAAUUGAAGUGCAAGUUUUGCACAAUCAAAUUUAGACUUUUCAAAAUUGGGCCCAAUCAUCUCGGCUUCUCCUCGUUAUCUGUAAGGUUCGAUAAAAUUAUUGAUUUUUUUUUUUUAGAAAACAUCAUACAUGAGUCGCAAUGAAAUUAGAUAAUUUGAUUUGUUAUAUAAAAUAAUAAUAAGCUUUAAUUUAAUGCAAAUAGUAUGCAGUUGUCAUGACUGCAUGAGACUAAUAUAAUUCUAAAUGAGAAACUUAGUAUGCAGAACAAGUAAAUAUUUUGCACAAUAAUAGUAAUUGAUUAGAGCUGGUUACAGUGCAAUAACUAUGAUUUAUUAGUGUGCAACAUGGCAGCUUAUUGAUUUUGCCUCGAAUACAUUUUUAUACUAUGAUACAAGACUAGACAAGUUUAUUUACCAACAAAACCUACAAAUACACGUUAUUAAUUUUUAAGGAAUGUUCCCUAUUACACCAUUCCACAAAUUCUAUGUAAAUCGCCUUACUUGGAUCCAAACUCAAAUAAGAACAAGGUCCUUAAAGCCAAAAAGAAAGCAAAUAUCAAAGAGGGGCUAAAUCAUGCUUCUAUACAAUAUCGAAUUCCUUUAUCAGAAAGGUCCCUCCUUUAGUACUGCAUAUAAUUACAUCGUUGAUUGAACAAAUCCUGCAAUUUACAUGUGUAAAAGAAAAAGGUCAAAAUUGAGCAAAAAUGAUUUAAAAGAGUCAUUUGCUCUUGAGAAUACAUGCAUUGAUGCAAAUUCUGCUCGUGGUCUUUUUAACUUCAUCUAACAAGUUACAUGAAUCAUAUUCCUCAUAUGUUGGAUGACGAAUGAUUUAAACAUCAAUAUUGCCUACACGGUUCACUAUACAUGUGUAAUAACAAGUCAAGAUCAUACGUCAAACUCAUGCUAGAUCAGUGAUUUGAAAUGGAGAGAGUGUUAAGAAAUUAGAACGUAGGACAAUCAACAAGAAAUGCAGAUUGAAUUGUGGGAAGAAAAAUUUAGGCUGUUAAAGUUCUGAUGUUCGAGCAUAGCAAUGCCAAUGAGAUGAAAGACAUGGCUAGAAAAACAGAAUUCUGGUGUCUGAAAUUAAGGUCUAGUCUAUGGUGGAUGCAAACCUCUAGAAUACAUCCAGCGGAUGAACAAGUACACCUUCAUCAUUCCAGUCAACUUCCUUGGUGCUUGAUUCCUUCCCAAUUAACUGAAGUGGUGCGUCUAGUGGUGGUGGAAUCUGUAGCCAAGCAACAAAUAUGAAUGUUAGGAAACAGAAAGUUGUGAUCAUGUGUAAUGGCUUGGAGAAAAAGCUCAAAUCCAACUGAUAUUUAUGAUCUUUUGUAAGGAGGUAAGAAGAUUUAGUACCAUGCACCGAAGUAGCGGCCAAGCUAUUCCACGGAAGAAAGGAUGCUCUUUGAUCUCACUUGCACCAGCAUUUGAUCCUAAGCGGCUGGCGGGAUCUCUAUUUAGCAAUGAAUGGAUCAACUGCCUAGCUGCAAGGCUCACCUGCAACACGUAUGUAGAAAGAUGCUUUCAUUUGUUUCAGACUAGAUUAGAGUUUCCUUUGAUUUUUCCCCCAAAAACAAAACUUGAAGUUAUUCUCAUUUGCUAUUUUGAAGUUUGAGUGCAAUUCCAUUGACUACACCAACAAAAACACAAUACCUCAAUUGCAGACUACUUGGUAUUCUGUUGCAUAAAUUAAUAUAUCCAUUUUGCCCCCUUUUUUUUACCUGUCUGAUUUCGGUACUCAAAACAGCUUGUUUUAUAAGAUAAAUUUAGGAUUUCUCUAACAGUAGAAGUUCUCUACAUAUCUACUCUAUAUUCCUAUAUUGAUAUAUACAUCUUUGCACAAAGCAGAAAUAUUCUUGGAAUACAUCGCACCUGAUGUAAGCGUACUAAAGCGACCAACGUGACAAAGACUUAUUUCCAACUAGUUGGUAUUGCCUCUAUGGAGAUUUUCUUCAAAAUUUGUUUUGGUCUUUGAUAAGUUUGUAUGGUUUCAGAGAGAGGUAUUUACAUGUAAUUAUAUGUCUACCUUCUCCCCUGUUAACACCUUUGAUGAUCUCAUCUACAGCCCGGUGUAUUUGAAGGUCUACACUGGAUAUGAUUAAACAAUCUCCAAUGACCUUCUCUAAUUUAUUCUAUGUGCUACUUCUAUUUUCUGUUUUAUGUGAUCUUCACUAGUUUUGUUUAAUCUUUGUAUGCUGUUCUUUAGCUCAUAAAACAUUCCCAUGAAACAUAUAAAAGGAGGAAGGAACACACAUAGUACAGAAAACAAGUAGAGAAAGACAAGACCAUCUUGAUAAUAUCAAAACAAAGUGAAUUUACCGGAAUGCUACUAGGGAAAGUGAGGUCCUUGUGUAGGAUGUUGGAAAAUGUCUUCUGUCUGUUCUUUCCUCUAAAUGGUGUACGCCCAUAGAGCAUCUCAUAAAGCAAGAUACCUGAAUCCCAUUAAAAGAGUUUACAGAAGUAGAAGUGUGUGAAGCAAAGUAAAUCCCCUCUAAUAUCACUAAGAGCAAAUCAAACAGAUAAUAAUUCCAAUGCUCAUGUUGAUUAUUGUUAGCCUUAGGUAUGUCAGUUGAAUAUCAUCCCAACAUACUACAAUAUAAUUCCAAUGCUAAUAUAAUGGACUGAACUAAAAUUCAUGAAGUUGUUGCAUGCAGACCUAAAGCCCACCAAUCAAUCGCACUGCUGUGGCCAGCUCCCGUGAUGAUUUCCUGAGAUCAAAUCAUUCAGAAGUACAUCAGACAAUAAUGAUUUCCUCUCGCUUGAAGAGUAUAUUUUGUUACACAAAAGCAAAGAGAAGCUUUAAAUGUUAACGAAUCCUGAAGGAAAAAAUAUUUGAGAGUUAGGAACCGAGAAACAAUUUUAUAGUAUAGUAAAUUUCUGAGCAGUUUCAAUAGUGGAACUUGCCAUUGGUAGGUUUCGUUAGAAGGAUUUCCAACGUAUAUGUCAUUUAGAAACAGAAAGGGUAACUGCUUGUACAUAAUUCUUGAUUAAGUGAUGUUUAGUUCUCCAAAAGUCAAAUUCUAGGGAAGAUCCAUAAUUUUUACUGCAGACAUGGAACAAGCUAACGCAACUUGUAACACGAAUGGAGUAUAUAUCUCACAAAAGUCCACUUCUAUUAUAAUUUACUUUACCGGUGCUAUGUAUUCUUCAGUACCAACAAAUGAAUUUGACUGCGAAAUUGGUUCUGCGACAAAUGUUGGUGGUGGUGUGCUCCUAGACUUUCUCCUUGAGGGAGGGUGCUUUAUAACCUGGAAAAAUUGUCACUUUAAUAGUAUGAAUAGAUAAUAACAAUCAGAUGUAGAAGAUUAAAGAUAAAACACCGGAAAGAAAUAUUAUACUAUAUCAAAAACAACAGUUUGCUUAAUCAAAUUGAUAGAUAGUUCAUAUGUUUCCCUUUUUCUCCUUUCUUCGGUUACAAUCCAUUUACCACUUUUCAAUAUCAUUCAAAUUCUUUGAAUAUAAGUAUGCAACAUACUAAGUGAGAUAUCAUGAUUCUUCAGCAGCAGAAGUUCAUUAAGUGGGAAAUUAUGAUGAAUAGUAAAGAGAACUGUCGAAACUGAAGCGUACUUGAGGUUUACAGGAUGUCUUGAAAGAAAGAUCAAAGUCAGUUAGUACGACAUGCCCAUCAGCCUGAAGUAGGAUAUUUUCUGGUUUCAGAUCCCGGUAUAUUAUUCCUGUAACAUGAAAAUAGACAAAUCAAAUGAGCAUCAACCAUUAAUCAUACAAAUCAAAUGAGCAUCAACCAUUAAUCAUACAAAACAGAUGAACCCUCUAUCUUUAGCCUGAUAGAAAACAUUAAAUAUUCUUGAUUUGCAGUCCUACAAAGAGAAAUAUAUUAGUAUGACUAUUUCUUUCUAUACCAGGGACUUUAUGUGUGCUACUUUUUUUACUUUCAGAAAGCACUAAUCUUUUACCUGCUGGUCUGUACCAGUCUUUCCUCUGUCAAAUUUUACAAAUGUUUUAACACUUAAUGUCAUUGCCUACAUGCUUGCCAUUGUGGGUCAUGCUAAUAAUUAAAGCCUCAGUAAUGACUAAUAUAUAAUGUCACAAGAUUACAGCAAUAUUGGCUACUGAAGCUUGCCACGCUAUGUUCAGUUAUCUGGGCCACAAAAGUUAAACCACAAAGUGUGUCAAAGCUAAUGGCCAAUGCAGCUUUUUGGUUAAGUUGUGCAUCCAUUACAGAUGAAGCAAGUGUAUCGAAGUUCCUCAAAGUCUAAACAACAAAUAGGAAAAUGCAACUACUGAAGAAGCUUUAACUCAAAAGGUAGAUGGAAUACCCAAACAAUGGAGAUACUCCAAGCCAAUUAGGACCUCUGCUGCAUAAAACCUGGAAAAAGUUGUUGGCAAUACAUGAGUUCAUAAACAUGAUCACAUUUCUUAUUUGAUGCAAAUUUGAGAGAAUCUCUAAGAAUUUUCCAGCUCUUUAUAACUUAACUUGUAUGAAAAUUUUGACCAGUUCGAGCAUAAGCAGAAUAAAAGGCAACUGCACUGGCUUAAAGUACAAAUGAUAGUACAAAGUCAAUACAGAUAAAUAGUACAAAGUCUAUACAGAUAUCUAAUGCGUAUAAUUUAUAGUCCUUAAAAGAGCUGCUUAAAUAUAUCUAAGAUUCAAUUUCCUUUUUCACGCACAGCAAUGUUCCUAUAGAAAUAAAAACUUCAACAAAAGAGAAAUACUCAUAAGCAACGAUCUUCUCUUGUGGGUGAGUCUAUUCUCGGAGAAUGAGGAAAUAAACAACAUAGAAAGAGCUAGAAAUGAAUAUGAAGAAACUUUGUCAGGUAGAAACACUGAAUUUAAACACAUAUUGAACCAUGUAAGAUGUUAUAUAGCUUAGUCUACUCAAGUGUGGAGUAAAGGAAAUUAAAAGAGAAGUACCUUGCAGAUUCCUCUUUAAAUAUUUUCAUAGGCUGUCUGUCAAGCAAAGCAAAUAACUCUCCUCCAGGACAGAAGUCUGUUAUUAGGCAAACAUGUGUUUCUGUCUGAUUAAAAAAAGAUGUGCAUUUUAGCUCUUCUGGACACUUCAGUUCUUAAAGUAUUUAAAUCAGUAUAACACUUGUUAAACAGAACUGAAUAAUAUAUUUAUUCAGAAACUCAAAGGUGAUGCAAGAAAGAGGUUCUCAGCAAGCUUUGAAGGUUUUUGGCUCAGUAGAUGGAUGAAUUUAGAAAUAGAAUGUUACAGAGUAUCUUCUUUAAACGAAUAUGAACUUUGAAAGGAAAUAUGACCCGAAACUCAUUAAGAGAAAAAGGCUGAGUUACUAUAAGUCGACUAUUCACUGAUUGAAAAAUUCCCAAUAAAAAGGAAAGAAAUUGGAUAUUCAAUUGACUGACCUAGCCUGAAACAUAAGAAUAUACUAAAUAUUACAUGUGCCAAAUACAUUGUGAAAAAUGAUUUAGCGGCGCUGUAUUCAUUAACAUGCAAGUAUAUUUCAGUGUUUUUAUUGUGGCCUUGCUACAAGACUGACAUGCAUAUUCAUAGAUGAUCUUAAAUUAAACCUGCAUUAGAAUGAUCGUUUGAGUUAGCAGUUACCUGGAAUGAUGAAUAUAGUGUUGGAAGGAAAGGAUGAUCAAGCAGAGCUAUGAUUUCUCUUUCAACACAUGCUCGAUGUACCUGUACAUUAUGUACCAUGAAUUUUUCUUCAUAUAAGGAUUAAGAGAAGAUAUGGAAUUUCCUAAUAUAGGAGAGGAAUGUGAAAUCAUGGGUUUGGAAUGUAAUCCAAAGGUCAUCAAGGAUUAGAAUGAAACUGCAUGGUCACUAAAUCAAUUCCUCCGAGGAAAUACUAUAUGCUCAAUAUACUGAAUACUGAUGAAACAAAAAAAUCUCGGGCAUCCAGACCUUAUUACGGUUGAGCAUUAUGAAUUUGUCCAUCGCCUUCAUAGCAAAAAGAUCUCCUGUACCUUUCAGUUCCACCAGAUGGACACUGCAAAGAACAGAAAGAAACCCUCUCAGACAAAAGAUAAUCUUUAAUGAAUGGAAAUACUCACUGCUUUGAGAUCUCUUAUGACUUGGAUAUCAUGCGAAUCAUUUUUAUUAAAGUAGAAAACAUCAUAACAGUUCACAAAACAAGAGGUGCACCAUCAAGGUAAGUGGAAGGUGUGUUAUUAAUAUUCACCUACUAAAAGUUCUGCAAGCACUAACAAUAAACUUACUAUAAUUUGUAGAAAAGAAAAAUAAAGAGCCUUUUAGCUAAGAAAAAAAUCAGAAUGACCCUGUUAUUUUAAGUGACCCUUUUUCCAGUCUUAGCUUAUCUUACUAUGAGUUGAUUCCUUAUAAUUCCCAAGCAUUGAUUGACUAGUUGUUCAGAUUUGUCUUAGAGUCUUCCUGGUCGCAUUUGUUUCUCUUUCUUGUAGUGUGCACGUUUAAUAAUGUCAUCAUUACAGUCAGGAUAUAAGUCCCCACAACAAUAUUUCUAAGAUUUAACCUCGAAAAAGUAGUAGGAUGUCAUACGACUAUCAUAAAGGUAGGUUGAACAUAGCCAACAAGGACUGGAGAAUAUGUGAACAAAUAACAAGAAAAGAUUGACACAUACCUUCCAGUAUCUCCACAACCCAAAGGUCGGACCGGUUUAAAGUUAUUGAGCCCUAAUCUUCCACCAUUUGCAGUUACCUGCCAGGUUAAAAUUUGAGUGGGAGACGGAAUGCAAAACAAAACGAGAAUAAAAGUUAAUAUAUGUCAAAAAGGAGAGUAGAAAGUUCAAACUAAAUACUAUAAAAGGAUAGUUUUACUGUUGAGUACUUGUGUCUCUUCUGUCUUACAUGCUACAGUAGGUAAACCUCAUACCUGAUAAUAGCAUAAAAGCACAAGGGAUCCUUGUUUCAAGUGUCUCAACACUUACAGGUGUAUAUAAACAUUACUGGGUAGAAACAGAUUCCUACUUGAUCUAGUACUCAAUAUGCAUAUCUAGUGAGCCAUAGUCUUAAAUCAUCAACGAAGAAAUAUCAGCAGUUCUCCCAAGGCAAAGGAAAAACAGUAGAUUUGAUAGGGACAACACAAAAGAUUGUGUACCUUAUGUAUUGCGGUCCAUAAAGCACUGUCCCUCUUAUGAGGCCGUGGAUAGACAGGUAGAGAAUGCAAACCCCACAAGUCUUCAGGUCUCUGAAAGAUAUUAGAGGGUUCGUGUCAGCUUUAUUAUCUUAAGUUCUGACAAUGGUCUCGAUAAAAUGCUAAAAAUAUAGUUUUGAUACAACUUCUGUUGACCAUUGUAAAGGCGAGAACAUUUAACAUAGUACUAGCCAUGAAAAAGAUAAUUAUUCAUAACAAUCAUGAGAAGACAAAAAAUCCCAUGACAAAGAUUAUCAGGAUCCAAUUCGGAGAGAAAGGAAUACCUUACCGAGUUGGCAUCAGGAAGUUCUCGAACUGCUUCAUCUACAUUUGUUGCAGUGGCUUUGACCUGCAAGAUAUGCCUGUUGAUUACUAACUGUAACUGAAAAGAUCUGUACUUUCCAAUUGGAUACAAAAUAAUGUGGGAAGUCCUAGUUAACUAUUCGGAUAUUAUUAAGUUACUCCAUCCAGUCAAGUCCCACAUUGGUUGAAACAUGGGUUGUGGUCUCGUUAUAUGGUUUUCAGCAAUCAUCUCCUCAUGAGCUAGCUUCUGGGAUUGAGUUUGGCUCAGGGAUCAUCUCUCACAUGGUAUCAGAAGUAAGGCCCACUGAUCCAUGUUGUUGUGUUUCUCAAUGUUGGGCACCGGUGUUAUCCACGCACCAGGUCUAGUCCUGGCCAUGUGGGGGAGUGUCAAGUCCCACAUUGGUUGAGGGAAUGGGAUUUUGAUUCUUUUGAGAAAAGAAAAUAGGCAAUUGGGGACAAUGGAGUGACUUAAGACAAACUCAAGAAAGUAGAUCACUUCAAUCAGGAUGAAAAGAGUAUUGGCAGAACACUAAGCGAAGCAUGUUAAGAUUGCACUGGAUACAUUCCUGAUCAAGAGGCAAAACGAAAAAUUUUAAAAUGGAACAUCCUUGUUCAAAGGUAUCAUAAAGGCGACCCCAGACUUUCUGUGAUGGAGGAGUUUUUGACACAAUUGAACACCGAGUUAAUUUUAUCUUGAUGGAAAGAAAAAAAAGUCGUGUGUUUUAUGCGUCGUUUACAUAUGCAAGCUUCUAAAAGUUCUAGCAUUUAAUUCUGUGAUAAUGUUUAAUUUUACUGUUCUUUGAGAGGAUGCAUUGGCAUAAGUCAAAUUCAUCACAGGAAAGAAAAAUUCAUUACAGCUAGCCUUCCCAUGUAGAAAAUAUGUGAUUACUAGUUGCUGAUCAUAACAUCAGUGGGACAGCUUCCACAGAGACAAGUGACAGAAAAUUUACCAACUUAGCACUUUGUUUUUCAGUUUGUUCUGAGAGGCGGUUUCUUAGUGGUUCCAAAUGAUCACUUCCAUCUAACUGAACGCCGAUGAAAUAUUGUAGUUCUCCCUGCAAAUGCAAAAUGCAGACAUCAGCCAAAUAAAAGAAAUUUGUCAAUUUCUUAAAAAAUGCUAAAGGAAAGUAGACACAAAGAUCACCUUCUGAUCACGCAUAGGUUGCAAGUGAAAUAAAUUCCAGAACUUCUUCCCUGAAAAUAUUUACACAUGUGAAGUCAAUGCUAGUUAAUAGACAAAAUGCUUGUCCGGUUGUAUUUCACUUAUGAAAAUAACAAAGUGCACUUGAUUACCGCUCUUUGUAUAAUUAAUUAAUUGCACAGUAAUUUCUUUUUGUUCUUUUAUGGCAUCUCGUAUCUUUUGAACUGUUGCUUGAUCUGUUUCCGGUCCCUGAAGAAAUCUGAAGAAUAAGAAAUCUUAUUAGAUCAACUGCACAUGGUGGGAGCAAAUCAGAGAACAAAAAUCAUAAAACAGCAUAUUAUCAGGUUUCGUUGUUUCUUUGCAUAGAUAGGCAGUGUAUUACUUACUAGUCCCAGAAAAUAAACCAGACGAAGAGAUUUCUUAUAGACUUGACAAUGUAAGGGAUACAAGACACGCCUAUUUAUAGGUAAUAACAAAGACACAUAUGAUAUUCGUCCAAUAUGAGACAUUAUGCAAAACCUUAGAACUUGACUAUUCUAAUAUUCGAGUAGCACAUCUAACACUAUAACUUAAUAUUCCAAUAGACCUCCUCAAAUUCAAAGUAGAGAAAGCAGCUUGACUUUUUCUUUCAAAUAAAGAAAAGUAUAUAUCUGCCGAAGUGGUAGCGGUUGCCGGAAAAUCUAAAAUAGUCAGCGAAGAAAUCUUGCAGGAAAAUUCUUGAUCAAACGAAUCAUGCAGGAAAAGUUCUGGUCACUGGAAUGUCACCGUUGGUUUUCCAAAAAAUGGCUUGCAGGAUGUAUGUCAUCAUAUGGUCACUGAAAGAGGCACAAUGAAAUUGGACGACCACUAAAAAAAAAAGGGAAUGACGCCAUCGGACAGUCACCAGAAAGAGGGGUAGUGCAACAGAACGAUCAGCUAGAAAAAAACAAGAUGCUGAUGGUGUCGCCAGAUAGUCUCUUCCAGGCUAUAGAAGCACAAUGUCACCAAAUAGUCAACAAAAAGAGACUUGGUGCAGCCUAAAGGCCACAAGAGAGGCACGGUGCAUCAGAAAUAAUCCUCGAAAGGAGGCGUGGUGCCUCUGGAGCAAUCACUGGAAAGAAGGAAAACGUAAAAAAAAAUUGUGGUUGGGCAAGUCGAAUACACCUUCCCUCCAAUAGCUGCAACAAUUUAAGUCUCUACCUAGAUCAUAGAGGCAAUGCUUAUUUUGUUUUUCUGCUUUCUGCAACUUUUGGAAGAGUAGGUUUGAGCCUUAUGCUCCGGUCCAAAUAUCUACCUUCUUCAAUCAAACUAAAGUGAAGUAUCAAUACUCCAUAUAUUUUAAAUACAGAAAUCCAACUAUGAAAGGAUCAUAGAAGAAGGAUCUCCAAAAAAUAUGACAUUGCAAUAUAUAAAGCAAUAUUCAACUCAUACCGGCAGUUUCUUCCUAAGAUCUCUUCACGUGUGAACUCUGUCAGUUCAAGAAAGCUAUCUGAAGCAAAUAUCUGAAAAAACGAACACUCCUGCUUUCAGUUUCCAGCACAAUAGACAUCUAAGACAAAAUUUACCAAUUGGACUUUAAUAUGAAACAAAUAUAUAUCAAUCAAUCAACUAACCUUUUCUCAAACUAGUUAGAUUAGAUAUAAAUGCACACUUUGUUCCAAUAUCAAAUAAUUUGUCCUUUAAGUUGAGGGUUCUUUAAAGCUAUUAAUCUUCUAAUUAUGAAAUAAUAUUAUAAUAAAUAGGGGAGAAAAACAGCCUGGGGCCAUUUACAGCAAAUGAUGGUCUACGUAAGUUCUCAAGUGAUUACACUAUGUUUUCUUGAUUGCCCAAAUAACCAUCUAUAUUUGUUCUUAUUGUUGCAAUAUCUCUGUCAGUCAAGUCAAACAUGGAAGCUUAGGAGGCCUUGCUCAAGUGGCAAAAGCUGAGGCCUUGAAACCCAGCGACGAAUAUGAUGAGAAAAUGUUAAAUGUCCUCUAGCAGUAUGUCUCACAUUUAAGUUUGCUUUUUAGUUUGGCUAAUUUUAUUCCAACAGGUACAGGUACCUUCAUAUAGCAUCAUUGAUAUUCUAAAAGAAAAAAGUCAAAUAUAAUGUGCGCCAAUCUGAAUCUAGCACAAACUAGAUUUAUCUUGAUCUUACAAUUGGAUUAUCAGGAAGUCUGGGAUCUGUAAUCACAAAAUUCUUCUCAAUACGCUCCAAAGUUGUUGCGAGGUCAAUUCCUUGACGUAUGUCCCUUUCUCUUUCAGCACGCUCCCAACUGUCAGUACGUGCUACUUCUUCCGUCAUUACUAUUUCAGGCUCAAUAUUCUGUUCUUUUUCUAUCGGAAAAGAGAUGCUUGAGGACCUUCCUUUAAACCUGCAUGAGAUAAUACCAUGAGCGAAUGCUACAGCCUACAGGCAGGUAUGAAGCUUAAUCCUGCUAAUAAGCUUUUCAGCUUACAAAAUCCUGCUUACAUUUCCAGAACACAGACGUCUUUAUAAGGAAAACUUAAAACAAAGAAAAAGGUGCAGACUGAAGUUAGAUAUCUACUAAGCUAUCAAUUGAAUAUAAGUAUCCUGACUUGUGAUUUCAUAAAGUCAACCAUGCAGUUCAUCCAAAAAUGCUACUUUCUUUCUACACAUAACCGAGAAAAAAUCUUACCCAGCUUUUGUAAUCGGUACUCUUGGAUAUCUUUACCGGGAUUCUCUUUUCCAACUAAAUGGUAAGAACAGUAAAUGACCACAACUACAUUUUAUUUAUGCUGUCUACUUCUCUCCGCGAAACCAAGAAACAAUAAUUUCUUUUGUUUGAUAAAUAUUACAUAUCAAGUCUUGGACCACUAUUGAAUCAUACAAAUUUACACGGAAAUUUUUUUUUAAGAAAAUAAGCUGAAUCAACUUCAUAAUUGAGUUUUACUUAUUAGGGGGACUAAACACUACCAUUAGAGGGGAGAUAAUUUCAGCCAUUCUGCUUUAAGCCGGUAUUCAUUUCUGACAUAGUUUAAGAAUUAAUUCGAUAAGCUGAUUAGUACUUCCCAUUUUCUCAAGAUCCAGGUUCAUGAAUAAGCAUUAGAACACGCUGGCGAUUGAACAAAACAUCCCGCAAAUAUUCUUUUAAAGCAGAGCUGGUGCAGCACCGUUAGCAUGAAACUUUUUAAAGAUAUCUUAGAGUGAAGAAGUUAAAGUCAAAGGACUCACCCCAUUAAGGAAACACGUGCAGAUUUUUUAGACUUUUUACCCGACUCCUGAGACAUAUCGCUCCUUGUUUCCCAUUGAGGUGUAUAUCGGCCAGGUGUACUGAUGCUUUCAGUAUCAGCAGAUUUAGGAAGCAUAAAAUCUGACUGUUGCUUCUCCUUAUCAGUUGCGGAACUAGCAUCCUGACUAGACUUUAUAUGAGAGCGUGGACCUUUUACGGUUUGUACCACUUCUGUAAUGGAACCUAAAGCCUUUUCCUUCUGACGAGCUGAGAAACGAAUGAGAGGGAUUUCAAAAUGAAGGAACAAUACUUUCACAAGAAAAGUUGAUCCCUUCUACUUACAAUCAUAUCUAAUUAAAGACUUCGGCAACCCAUUUGGUCUCAAUGAUUUCUCAUUUAUCCCUUCAGUGUAUUUGCUGACUUCUACCUGCAUUCUGUCAUAAGGGAAUUAUCUGAAUUAGAAGGAAAUGCUUCUCGUUGAUUACAACUUGAAACUGAAGCGGAAACAUAUAUGUCAAGUUGAAUCACUUAAAAAAGUUCUCUAAUGAGGCACCAUACUAAUCUCAAGAAGAAGCUUCUAAAGUCGCAAAUGCUAAAAUACUGGACAAUUAAAUGAUGAGAAAGGAGAUAAACUUAAGAUGCAGACAGAAUUAAAGCUGAGCUAGGCACCCAAGCAUUUGCUUUAGCAACAAUAGGGACAGAACCAUCUUUACCCUAUAAACUUGAUCGUAUUUCCAUUGUCAUCUUUUAUGGGGGUGACAGUUAGCAGGUUCCAAAAAGGGGUCCCAUUCUUCUUGUAGUUCAAGAGCCUUCCACAGUAGCUUUUCCCUGUUUUCACAGCUUCUCGGAUUUUUGCUACUUCUUUCUGGUCUGUAUCUUUCCCCUGUAGGAAGCGACUGCAUCAAACAAGUCAAGGUCACCUUCAAAUCCUUUUUUCCCAGCAUCCAUAUCAUCAAAUAAGUACAAAUCAGGGAGAAAAAAGGGCAGCCAUGUGCACUAAUACUGAUUAAAAUAAAACCUAAAAUCUCUUGCACUGUCAGGAUCAAAAUAAUAAAGAAAAAAGAAGCAACAAGAAACUAAUGGCUGGCAACUAUUGUUCCCUUUCAGCACCUGAAAAAUCUGGCUCACGCUAAAUGGGAAAAAUUGAGAGAAAUAGUUUAACUUCAUGCAACAAAUCACUGUCUGCUAAUGAGACCUCUAAUUCCGCUCUUAACAAAGGGCGCCUAUACAAUGUUUGAAACGGAUAUCCAGCUACUUCCUAAAUUAAAUUAAAGGAGAUUGAAUUACUGAUCAACAAUAAGGACUUCCUUUUUUCAGAAUGGUAGGAUAUUAUAAACAGAAGAACAACGUUUGUGCCAAAAUACAUGCAAAUCAGGAUGAACUGUCCAGUUAAGGCUCAGCAACUUUACAGUUCAAAUUUCCUACUCAUUGAUCAAAGAGGUCCAGACACAAACGUUACCUUGAACAUUCCAUUUUUACACCUCCUAAGCUACAUAAGGAUUGAACAAAAUAAAAGAACGAUAUAUGAGUCUUAUCACUAGUCUACUCACAAUGCCUUGAUAUACUACAAUAAAUUGCCAAAAUUCACGGGAAGACAUGCGAAAGCACUAGCAUAAGCGAAAAAUUCUCACCAAUUCCUUCCAACAAUCUCUUUUGAAGAAUAACCAGUCAUAGUAAAGAAGCCACUACUGGCAUAAACAAUAGGGCAAUCUGGUUUUGUUGCAUCAGAUACGACAAAUGUCUGUUGCAGUGUUGCUAAGGCAUCCUUCAGAUCCUGAGACACUCGAGGAAAUUCAGAUCCAAAAGACGACUCCUCGGAUGUCCUUGUUGAUCCAACUGAAUACUUCUCCAAUGAAUUCUUUCUUCUCUCCCCAUCUGCAAAUGAAUUUUCUCCACUUUUGGUAACUGCAUGAAAGCUACCUUCUCCAACAUCUGUCCUCACAGUCAAUCCCCACUCGGCAGCCCUCUCUGAUAUGCUGAUUCCACUUGGGAUCUGACUAUUUGCAUUGUCAUUGUUUUCUCCUUUCUUCUGUCCAGUUCCUUUUGGGUCAAACGCCAUCCACUUGUUCGCUACCUUGUCUGUUCCUGUCCUACUUCCAGAUUCCUCCCCUUUCGUUGAAAUUUCUUGCACAACAGUACCCUCAUUUCUACUACUACUAGCGAGGUUUGCACCUCCCCGAGUCAAUGCCGGUUCGAAAACAUCAAGUGAUCAGCACAGAAAGUACUUCAACACAACCUACUAACACCAAAACAGCCAAAAUUUGAAGUUUUCAACUAAAUCAUUACCCUCUAGCCAGUGGAAAUCAGCAAGCAGAGACUAGACUAAAGGACUAACACACAAGAAACACAACAGAACUGAUAUGCAAACAAAAAGAAACCAACAAAUGCAAAUAUAAAAGCACUCCUAAACAAAAAGUCACACAGCACGUAGAAGAGGCAAAUGCCUCUCUCGCUUCAAUUGCAAAAAUAUUGAUCAUUGAUCCAAAAAAAAGAAAUGAAACAAAAAAGGGGCGCUAUCAGUUUCUGCAAUGUAAAUCAAGUACACACAUCAUGUAAGAAAACAACAUUAAAACAUGGAACCAAGCAUAUAUACAACAGCACCACCUUACCCCUACCUCAUACAGAUACAGGAACCAACUAAGCAUAAAUACUUAAAAGUAAAUAAAACCUAGGCCAAGUUUUGGAAAAUCAGAAAGCUAAGAUUGAAAAGAAGGUGAAUAGACAAAGUAUGAGUAGGCAAAUACAAUCAAAAGAGUAAUAAACUAAUAAGAGUGAGAAGUACCUGAAAUAUGGUGAUAUUAGAAGAAGAGAGUGUACAUUUUACUAAUAAUAUCAUUUGGUUUCCAAGUCUGAGCUAGCGAGUGUGUUGUAAAUGUGACAAGGAGGAGACUUACAACCAGAGAUAGCAGAUGUUGGGAAGAUAACGUUCACAGAAGAAAAAAGGACAACGAAUAGUGCCAUGUUGCUAAAUUGUGACCGCUAUUUCUAGCAACUAUAUAUAUAUAUAUAUUUACUGCAAAUGAGAAGUCUUGACUUUUGUGCUACAAGACUCCUCGUUUAUAACCACUUCUGGCGCUCUCUAUGAUAUCCACUGGCACUGGUAGUUAAAAAUUGAGGACCCUCAUGCCCUUUCUUCUUUCCACUUAGUAGUACUAUGUAAAUUUACUACCCCCACAUCUAUAUUUUACCAGUCCAAUAUCAGGGGGCGGACCUACGUAUGUUUGCGGGAUUUUCGACAUUCACUAAAUUGGAUGCGAAAAUAUAUAAAAAUAGGUAUAUAAAAGUACCCACUAAAAUAAAAGUUGAUUGGGUACAUUGGUAUUUAGGUUGACUUUAAGUUUUUUUUUUUUUUUAGUAUUUAAAAUUUUUAAGCACCCACUAUUCCUAAAUUCUGAAUCCACCGUUGUCAAUAUUUUAAAAUAAUUGUUUAAUUUUAUUUAGUUUUUCUACUAAAUAUUAUUUAUUUAUCAAUAAUUAAAUAACUUAUAACUAAUAAAAGUGAUAAGAGUAAAAUUAUAAAUUUAUUUAUUCUUUAUUAAUGAACGUUUCAAGUCAAACAUGAACAACUAAAGAUGGAUCACAUGAUUAUAGUUAGUGACAAAAUGUCUGUUACACUUUUGUUUCAAUUUGUUAUUUAUUUAUUUUUAGUCCAAUUUUAAAAGAAAUUAAUAUAAUUUUUUUGAUAAUUUUUUAAUUUUAACUUUUUACGUGUUCGUUCGUGUUGAAGAAUUAAGACCACAAUAUUUGAAGAUAUUUUGAUACGUCUACAUAUUUUUAGUAUAAAAUUACAGAAUUUCAAAAUCUUCUUUAUAUUUUUAAACUUCGUAUUAAGUGAAAAUCAAAUAAUUAAUAAAUUAAAACGAAUGAAAUAAUAAUUUGUGUGCAAAUAUAUGGUAUGCAUCUACAGACUUGAUGUAAAUAUCCGUAUCAACUUAAAAAUUAACGAUUCUUGUUUUCCACACAAAAAUCAACUAAUUGUACCCAUAUAUCUAUUUAAAAAUUACUUUGGCUUGAAAAUACACAAAUCCGAUAGAAACUCAUCAGAACUUCUUGACUUGCAUGCCACCUUUUUAAUGGGUCCACUUAAUUUGCAUUUAAAAAAUUUUUAAUAGCUAAAAUUCGAAAUCUAAAUCUCUAACUAAUUAAAGGAAUAGUUUUAUUUACUGCAUCAUAUUUUUUUAUGAUUGUUUCAUUUGAAAUUUCACGAAUUAAUUUAAUAUAUGAUCAAUGAACUUUAUAAUACUCCCUCCCUUCAAAAAAGAGUCAUUUAUUUUAACUUGAUACGAGCUUAAAAAUUUUUUAAAAAUCUUAAAUCUUAUACUUUUAAAUUAAAGUUACAUCAAAUAUAUUAAAAUCUAUUACUCCUCCUGCUUAUUUUACUCUCCUCAAAUUUUCUAAUUUGAUUUCUCAUUUUUUUUGUCAUUUUUUAUUAAUCAAGACAAGAUUUUUUUUUUUCUUUUUUACCCUUAGUAUUAAUUGUUUUAUCUCCAAAUUAAAAUGAAAACAUCAUUUAAUAGGAGUACUAUGAUAAAGUAGUCAUAUUAUUAAUUAUUUUUCUUAAUCAAUGUUUAAUGUCAAAUUGAGACGAGUAAAAUAGGACGGAGGAAGUACGUAGAAAGUUAGAGUAAAGCAUUAUUGAAAUCGAAAAGCGUCAUUCUUUUUAAAUUGGAUUAAAAAAAAAAUAGGUCAUUUUUUUUUAAAACUGAGGGAGUACUACUUUCCGUCACAUUAUAAUAAGUGGAAAGAAGGGGAAGUCUUGGAGUAACUGAUAAAGUUGUUGUCAUGUGACCAGGAGGUCACGGGUUCAAGCCUUGGAAACAAAUUCUGACAGAAAUGUAAGAUAAGGUUGCGUACGAUACACCCUUGUGGUGGGACCCUUCCCCGGACACCGCGUAUAGCGAUAGCUUUAGUGGAUCGGGCUUCCCUUUUUAUAAUUAGUGGAAAAUUGAACUUUACUCACUAGAGCAGUAAAGUCGUCAAAUUUUACUCACUAUAACGACGUAGCUAAACUAAUUAAUCCAUCAAAAUGACUUUACUUUCAUAGUUGGUCUUUUGUGAAUUCAUUGUUAUAGCGAACGAAUAUUGUUCCAUUGCUUUAACCGUUUAACGUAACGUGAUAAUAAAAAGCGGUAUGUGAUUUUGCAAUUAUAAUGGGUGAAGUGAAAAGUCAAGUUACUUUAAUACGAGAAAGAAUAUCAUAAUUACGGCCUUACUAUUGUAAUGAGUACAUUUUAGUGACUUAGAUAUGAAACCAACCAAUAGUUUCACUGCAUGCAGUGACGAAAUUGAGAUAUAUGGACCAAAACUGUCUUCCGAAGGUAUAUUCAUUACCACAAAUGACAGCAUAUAUAGAUGUGGGAUACCCACUAGACACAACCCAAAUGGUCAAUUCCUGUAAUACCAUGUUUGAAGAGUUGUUGCAAAAUCAAAUCUACAUCUUAGCUAGGCCAUGUUAUGUUAGAAGAUGAGAGAAACGUACGUAAAUCUUGUAAUCACUUCUUGUACGGGGUAUAUAUAUUGGAUAUUUAUAUGGGCAAAUCGGAGAAUGACACGUGAAAAUAAGGAUAAAGUUGAUUCUGACGCAGUAGCUGUUGGGUUCAUAGUAUAUGAAUGAAGUGUGAAUGAAAAAAAAAAUGGAGAGAAAAAUCGUGGAAGGAAGGAGAUACCAAUUUAGAAGGUAUACUCCCAAAUUGGAAAGUCCACUAAUUCUCCCACAUUGGUGGGAGAAGGGAACUUUGUAGUGUUUAUAUUAAUGAACACUCACUCCACAUGAUAAGUGAUGCAAGAAAAUAAAGAUGCCUCACGCCGUCGUCGCUCGCUCGAAUUCGGAUUUGGCAAAUGAUCCGAAUUUACCAAACAGUAAAACACAGCAAUGUGUUUUGUUGCAGAGAACUGAUGCAUGAACGUUUAGGCCAUGUUAAUUACAAAAUGUUACAAAAACUGAUUAACUUAGAAGUUUUGCCAAACUUUGAGUGCAAUAAAUCAAAGUGUCAAACAUGAGUGGAAUCAAAGUAUGCAAAGCAUCCUUAUAAGUCCGUUGAAAGGAAUUUCAAUCCCUUAGACUUAAUACACACUGACAUUUGUGAUAUGAAGUCAACACCAUCACGUGGUGGAAAAAAGUAUUUCAUAACUUUUAUUGACGAUUGCACUAGAUAUUGCUAUGUCUACUUGCUAAAUAGUAAGGAUGAAGUAAUAGAUACGUUUAGGCAAUAUAAAACUGAAGUUGAAAAUCAGUUAGACAAAAAGAUCAAAAUGAUAAGAAGUGAUAGGGGCGGAGAAUAUGAAUCUCCAUUUGAAAAAUAUGUGUAGAGAAUGGAAUUAUCUAUCAAACUACGGCCCCAUAUUUACCUCAAUCUAAUGAAAUUGCGGAAAGGAAAAACCGAACUAUGAAGGAAAUGAUGAAUGUCUUACUUAUAAUUUCUGAUUUACCGCAAAACCUAUGGGAGGAGGCUAUCCUUACGGCCAAUCGUAUACUCAACAGAGUUCCCCAUAGUAAGACACAAUCAAUUCCUUACGAAAAUGGAAGGAAACCCAACUUGAAAUAUUUCAAAGUAUGGGGGUGUCUAGCAAAGGUUCAAGUUCCUAUACCUAAAAGGGUUAAGAUAGGACCUAAAACGGUGGACUGCGUGUUCAUAGGAUAUGCUAAAAGUAAUAAAUCAUGUCGAUUUUUUGUUCAUAAAUCCGAACAUCCGGAUAUUAAUGAAAAUAUGGUAAUUGAAUCAGACAAUGCUAAAUUCUUUGAAAACAUUUACCCGUAUAAAAUUAGACAUGAAAAGUCUAGUGGAGGAUCUAAAUGACCUCGAGAUGAACCAAGUGAGAAUGUACAUAAUGAAGAAAAUCCAAGACGGAGUAUACGUCAAAGAACGUCAACUUCGUUUGGAUCGAAUUUAGUAACAUUUCUCUUAGAAAAUGAGCCUCAAACAUUUAAAGAAGCGAUGUCAUCAUCAGACUCAUCCUUUUGGAAAGAGGCAGUCAAUAGUGAGAUAGAUUUAAUCUUAAGCAACCAUACAUGGGAAUUGGUUGACCUUCCUCCCGGAAAUAAACUUUUAGAUUCUAAAUGGAUCUUCAAAAGAAAAAUGAAGGCAGAUGGUACUAUUGAUAAAUACAAGGCAAGACUUGUAGUAAAAGGCUUCAAAUAGAAGGAAUGCCUUGAUUAUUUUGAUACAUACUCACCAGUAACAAGGAUAACCUCGAUUCGAAUGUUAAUUGCCUUGGCGGCGGUAUAUGAUCUUCAAAUCCAUCAAAUGGAUGUGAAGGCUACAUUCCUAAAUGGAGAUUUGGAGGAAGAAAUUUACAUGGAACAACCUGAGGGUUUUGUGGUUUCAAGAAAAGAAAAUAAGGUAUGUAAACUUGUUAAGUCACUUUAUGGACUAAAACAAGCACCUAAGCAAUGGCAUGCAAAGUUUGACCAAACCAUGUUGGCAAACGAAUUCAAGAUAAAUGAAUGUGAUAAAUAUAUUUACAUUAAAGACACUCCAAAACACCAAGUCAUUGUUUGUUUAUAUGUGGAUGAUAUGUUUGCAACAAAACGAAUGCUUGAGAGCAAGUUUGAUAUGAAAUACCUUGGAGUUGCAGAUGUGAUCUUAGGUAUAAGAAUCCAUCGAACUCCACAAGGGUUAGCAUUGUCACAGUCUCAUUAUAUCGAAAAAGUACUUGACAAGUUUAAGUAUAUGAAAGUCGGUAUUGCUAAGACUCCAUUGGAUGUGAACUUUGCACUUCGAAAGAAUGAAGGUGAAAGUGACUCAUAAUUGAAGUACGCAAGAGUAUUGGGAUGUCUAAUGUAUAUAAUGAAUUUUACAUGACCAGAUAUAGCAUGCACUAUCAGUAAAUUGAGUCGGUAAACGAGUAAUCCCAACAAAACUCAUCGGAUGGCAAUGAAAAAAGUUUUGGGGUAUCUUAAAUACACUCAAAACUAUGCUUUACAUUAUAAUAAAUAUCCUGCGGUACUUGAAGGAUAUAGUGAUGCAAAUUGGAUCAUCGUAUCGAACGAAGUAAAAUCCACAAGUGGAUAUGUAUUUACUAUCGGUAAAGGAGCAGUUUCUUGAAAAUCAUCCAAACAGACUUGUAUCGCUCGCUCUACAAUGGAAUCUGAAUUUAUCGCAUUAGAUAAAGCCGGUGAAGAAGUAGAAUGGCUCCGGAAUUUCUCAAAAGAUAUUUCGUAUCGGCCCAAGCCAAUGGCACCAGUAUGUAUACACUUUGAUAGUCAAGCGGCAAUAGGUAGGGCAAGGAGCAUGAUGUAUAACGGUAAAUCUCGCAAUAUAAGACGAAGACAUAAUACCGUUAGAGAAUUUCUCUCUAGUGGAAUUAUCACAAUUGACUAUGUAAAGUCAAAGGAUAAUAUGUCGAAUCCACUUACAAAAGGCCUAUCUAGAGAAGAAGUAUAAAGGACAUUCAAGGGAAUGAGUUUAAGACCUAGGACAAGUCAGCAUGGCGGUAACUCUACCUAACAGACUGGAGAUCCCAAGAGCUAGGUUCAAGGAGAUCAAACAAAGUUGUGUCUGACAGGUUCAACAUUGUCAAUUACCCAACUCAUUCUCAUGAUGUAGACAAUGUAUAGUAAACUANNNNNNNNNNNNNNNNNNNNNNNNNNNNNNNNNNNNNNNNNNNNNNNNNNNNNNNNNNNNNNNNNNNNNNNNNNNNNNNNNNNNNNNNNNNNNNNNNNNNNNNNNNNNNNNNNNNNNNNNNNNNNNNNNNNNNNNNNNNNNNNNNNNNNNNNNNNNNNNNNNNNNNNNNNNNNNNNNACAAAACUGUAAGAACCAUAAACGGUAAAAGGCUGGUUGUGUGACAUGUGUUGUCUAGGUGUACAUUAAAGCUCGACGGUUCAAAGAUAUCAAAUCUACCAAUUGACCGAGUGCAUCCGAUGCAUGUUCACUACGGAAAGUUCAAAGAAAAACCCACUUAUCCAGAUGCAAUCAGUCUUCGCUUGAUGAUCACAUACUUGUCCGUAAAAGUUUUACGAAAAAUAGUCACUCCCCAUUCAUGUGGGGGAUUGUUGGGUUCAUAGUAUAUGAAUGAAGUGUGAAUGGAAAAAAAAUGGAGAGAAAAAUCGUGGAAGGAAGGAGAUACCAAUUUAGAAGGUAUACUCCCAAAUUGGAAAGUCCACUAAUUCUCCCACAUUGGUGGGAGAAGGGAACUUUGUAGUGUUUAUAUUAAUGAACACUUACUCCACAUGAUAAGUGAGGCAAUAAAAUAGAGAUGCCCCACACCGUCGUCGUCGUCGCUCGCUCGGCUUCGGAUUUUGAUUUGGCAAAUAAUCGAUAGAUGAGAUCUAUCUUUUUGGAAAAAUUUUAUUUGAUGAUCCGAAUUUACCAAACAGUAAAACGAAGCAAUGUGUUUUGAUUCUCUAUUUAUACAACUGAACUGAUGCAUUGUUUCUGCAAAAAGAUGCACUGUUCAUCUUUCCGUAAACAGAUGCACUGUUACAGCAAACAGAUGCACUGUUCUAGUGAACUGAUGCAAUGUUUCGAUGAAAGGAUACAAUGUUUCACACGAACUGGUUUGUACUGUUUCAGUAAAAUGAUGCACUGUUUUAAGUGAACAGACAUGCAUUUUCAGAAAAGACACACACCUUUAAAUUGAACCAAUGCCACCUUUCUGAACAGGCAUCUUGUGGCUAUAUAAACCUGGUUUCAUCCACAGGUUUUGGUACAAAAAUUUUCAGAUUACAAACAUUCUUCUUGUCUUCAAAUACUCUGUGUGAUCAUUAAAUCGUUCAGUGCGUUCGAAGAAUCCGCCUAUUUGAUGUACCGCUAUAAUCGGAUUGAAGGUCAUUUUAUCCGGGGAGGAAGUUUCCAUAACCUCGGGUACAGUGAGGGGAAUUAUUCCUUAAGGAAAGUCCGUGAAUUUGGAUGACUUGGUCUUAAUCAUUUCUGUUUCAUCUAUUUUUCUGAAAAAUAAAAUACACCUCUUGGAAAGGUCAUUUUGAUCUUGUGUUGAGGGUAUUUGAUAUACUUCAUUGUGUUCUUGGUUAUAUACUUGAACUUUAGUUGAAGUUGCUGUUGCAAUAUACAGAUUCUGCAUAUCCGACCACAUUGUGGAAAUAACAAUAGCGUCACGCAGGCACCAAAUGUCUCAUCAGGUGUCACCCAGAGAAGUAAUUGCUUUCCCUAAGGGCCAUACAUAGGGCACCCUAUUCCAUUAUCACGCCGAUAUAGGCCCUCUUAGCUAGCUCUGAGAUCAUAAGAGCAGAUAUCGAUGCAUGACUGGGUCAAGUAAGGCCAAUACUCCAGACAAUGCAAAAGAGUUCAAGAUCCUCAUAAUCGCUAUUGAACAGACUCAGAAAUGAGUAAGUGAGAGUCUUAAUAGGGUUGAGGUCCAUAAAAGACGACGUUUCCUACGGUUUACUUAUAAAUAGCCUUCUAAUCAUUUGUUGUACACUAUGAAAUUAUCAUUUAAUAAUUACUGAGCAAUACUCUAGUAGAAGUUGAAAGUUGAUUUCUAGUAGAAGAUUUAUAUAAUCUGCAAGUCAUCUUCAGAAUUAUAUUAUGAUUAGCAUCUAAUUGUUUUAUUAUUUAUAUAAAGCACCGAUUCUCGUGCAAAGGAAAAAUGUACAGCAUCGAUCGUUUUCUCAUAAUUAAAUUUGAUGUGCCAAGCCAUCCACGUAACUCCAGCUAAAUUUACUCCCUCAGUUUACUUUGAUUUAUUCACUGAAUUAAAAAUAUUUUUUUUUUACUUGUUAUCUCUUAAGGUAUGAAGAGCAAAAUAUAUAUCUAUUUCGUGUUUUAUCUUCAACAUCAAUAAUUUAUUUUUAAAUUAUUUUCUAAAAUUUAAGACUAAAAUCAACUAAAAUGAUAUUGUAAUAAGAUAAUGAUAUCGAUCAUUAUUUCUUAAGAACAUGCAAAGUUCAAAAUGAAUAAAUAAAAUAAAAAAAUAUUAAGUAUAUAUAGUUGAGGGAGUGAUUUGUUGAGGCAUGACACACCUGCAGUAGUAAAAUGGUGUAAGUGAUUUUCAUCAUCCUCCAUGCAAAUGUGAUAUAUACCUCAUUAAAUUUUAUGCCAUUUGUAUGGUUUGUACAAUGUAUUGCCAGCAUGUGCAGGACCUCCUUUUAUCAGGUGUGUACUCUUUGCCUCUUUCGGUAGGGACUAGGGAGGGAACAUUUAUAGAAUUUUUUUCAGCUGUAAUUCUCAAAAAUAUUACUCCCUUCAUUUUAUUUUAUGUGAUAUACUUUAAUUUAGGAAUGUGUAAAAAUUGAAUCUUAAUUAAUUAAAUCGAAAAAAUCGUUAUUGAUUUAUCAGUAUCAAGUUAUUAGAUUAAUAAUUUUUAAAUGAUUUUAGAAAUUUAUUUUAUUGGGAUAUCAAUUCGAUUUUCGAUUUUGAGAUUUUAGUUAAUGGGUAAACCGAUAACCCAAUAAAAUUAUAUUUUUAUCCCUAGUUAUAUAAUAGUGACUUUAUAUUUAAAUAUAUAACCCUAUUAUUUUUUUACAUUCAUUUCUUUAUAAACUUGUUGGCUUGUCGGGUUCCACCCAUUAAUCGAUAAUCUAUCUAUAUCUAUAAUCUAUCUAUAUCUAUAACAUAUUAAAAGUGUGAACACCCUUAUAAAAGUGAUUUGAACUUUUUGCCCUUCAUUAAAAAUCUCCACAAUAAACAAAAUUAUCUUUUCACCAUUUUCUAUAAUUUUUAUGAUAUUAAAUAUUUAAAUGGAGAAGAUUUUCUUAUUAUGAUUAAAUUCCUAAUUUUAUGAUUUUUUUUUCUCACGUCUAAAAAAGAUUAGGCAAAAGUCCUAAUAUGUUUCUUCAAACUUUUAUUUGGAUAAAAUACAAUACUUUCAAAAAUAUUAUAUAAUAAUAUAAUAUCUAUCAAGUUAAGAAUAGUGAUAGAAAAAAAAUCCCUACCUUAUAGGCUGAAGAGUCGCUUCCCAAACCUAAAAUCAUUACCAAAUGGCCAAUACACAUUCGGGGUAGGAAUCCUAAUUUAUUUUUAGAUAAAUUUUUCAUAUUCCUCAACGCGAGUUAGAAAGAAAAUUAAAUAUUAACAUAAAUAAUUUACUUAGCAAAAAAUAUAAAAUAUUAUCAUAAAUAAUUUAUUAUUAUAAUUAAUUUUUACUUUUCCCCAAAAAAAACCCCAUAUUUAAGUAAUCUUUUUUAAGGAAAAUUAAAGAUGUUGGACUUCUAUAAAUUGAAUAAUCUUCCUUCUACAACACAGAACGGCAUAACAAAAACGAUGUUGGACUUCUAUAAAUUGAAUAAUCUUCCUUCUACAACACAGAACGGCAUAACAAAUUGUUUUUGUAUAUUUGUAAGUAGCUUUAUUAUUGAGUUUCUAACCUAAUUUUUAAUUUAAUAUUCAAGUUUCAGAUUUUUUUUUUCUAUUAUGUUGGUAUUAUUAAACAAGAAUAACAAAACAUCUUUUCUAUGUUUGUAAGUAACCUUCGUUAUUGAAUCUCUGACAUAAUUUCGUGGUUUACAGUUUCAGAUUUUCUUUUCUAUUACAUUGAUUUUUUUUAUCAUGAAUAAUAAAUGUCCUUUUAUGUUUGUAAAUAUAGCCUCGAUUGAGAUUUAUUUCAUACGCUAAACUAAAACUCAUAAUAUUGUUAAAGGGAAAAGAAUUAUUAUAUUUAAGUACAAAAUUUUGUGAUAAGUAAAAGGGAGUGAAUACGUUUUUUUAUGAAUUGAUGUAAUAUACACGUGCAACACACGUACUUUAGAGGCUUAUUACUUUUAGAUAUUUUCUUGCGAAGUAUUGAAGUUGAAGAAUUUUGUAAGAUACGAAAAAAAAAUUAUUUCCUUGGCAUAGACAAAAUAUACAAUUUUACUGAGUCGUUCAAUAAACUUAACUAAUUAUAAUUUUUAUUUGUUUGUAUUUGAGUUUUUUUUCCGAAUAUUUAUUGUAUUCUUUAUGCAGAUUUGUUGCCUAUCUUUUUCUGUAAAAAAAAUUGCUUUCGUUUAAGGAAAAGAAAAAUAGAUAAAGAAAAGAUAAUAGUACAAUUUAGUUGACUUGAUUUCUUUUUAGUAAGUCUUAUGAAUUUGUGAUUUUACUUGAUAAUUCACUGAAGAAGUUUUUAAUUUAAUUUUCUUGAUAUUGGAUGAAUAAAAAAUGCCAACUUAAUAAACUCUAGACUAAUUUUAAUUGUCUUUUCAUUCACAUAGAAAAUUUCUAAAUUGUUUGCAUGGAAUUCGAAGGUCAAAUAUCGCAUUUUUAGGAUUAAAUCAAGUCAAAUUGCACAACUUUAUUGUCAAUCACUAGUCAAUCUUCUUAGUGAAGACACCAAGGCACAAGAACAUAAUAACAUUGUACUUCAUAAAGGGUAGGGAAUUGAAUUGCAUGAGUUCACAAUAAAGCAAAUAAUACAAACAUUUAUAAAUUUUUAACACAAUGAAAAACACAAUUUUUUAUUAAAUUCUUGUGCAAAAUCUAAACACUACUUGUUUUGCAUGCUAAAAUAUCUUUAAUCUUCAAUUAUUACGCAUGUACUUGCUGAAAUUAAAAUAAAACACGAUAAUUUUUUAAAGUUUUUUAAUGAAAUUAUAAAUCUAAAGUAUAUAGUUAAAUUAAAAUCUUAAUAUACACAUGUGAGUAAAUAUAAAAUUAUUUUAGAAAUAAAAUUUACUGACAAAUAUAAGGGGAUGUCAAUGUAUUCCACAUUUUCACUACCUUAUGUAUCUUAGAUAUUAUAAAUGUUAUAUAAUUAAUUAAAUAAAUUAUCCAUAUUUACAUGUUCAAAGAUGUUAUAUUCAUUUUUAUUAACUAAACAAAUAUCAUAUUUAGUGUAGCGUUUAAACUCAUUAAAGUGAGGUACACGCAUUCAAGUUCGCUACUUAACCCCAAAAGAAAAGGUUAUUUUAGUAAUAAUAUAUUUGAGUUUGCUUCUACUUGUACUUUGCGUAGGCUUACAUAUAUAUAUAUAUAUAUUUUAUUUUUAUUUUUUAUUUUUGCGCAGCGUAAUUCAAUUGAACUUCCUUAUCAACGUGUAAUGUUAUUGGGGUUCGCUGCUAAUUUGACACUCAUCAAGUAAUAUAUUUAUUGAAAAUAGUAAAACUACGUUGGUAAAAGAAAAAAUGAAUAUAGAGGAUAAAUUAACUUCUAUUUGAUGUGGUAUCUGAUCCAUAUGUAAGUUAUCCAAAAUCUAUCGAAUCAAAAGUGAGUUUCAAUGAUAUUGUAAGAGGCCACGAAGGGGCUAGCUAGCUGGUUGAGGAUAAAUUUCCCCAUCACCAUUUAAUUUCAUGUGUCAUUUCCAGCCUAUGGACCAUUAUUGUGAAAGUGACUUCAACCCCCAUCUAAUGCAUACGGGUCCAAAGCAAAAAAUCAACACAUGGACAAGACAUAUUUGGUGGUUAGGUCAUGUAAAUUACAAGAUUAUGUUACCUUUUCUUUAGCAAUGGCACAUGGCGUAAGAAAACAAAAGGGGAGGAAAUAAUUGUUAUACGAAAAAAUAACAGGUUAUUCGAAAUUUUACUGUUACAAUAAUUCACUCGACUCGUCCCUUUCAAACGUUUCAUUUUGCUCAAUUGUUCAAUUCUCAUGUGGUUGUUUUUAAAUGAUCACCCUUUGUGAAACACUAAAAUUAUACACCUAUAUUAAUAAUGCAAGAAAAAGAUGAACACUUCAGAGUUAUGACUCAUGCACUCAUAAGUUACUGGCACAACAUAAGCUUAGCGACACGAGUUAUGCCCCAAGGUAUAAUUGAAGGGCAAAAGAAAUUGCGCUCAAGACACAAGUUAUGCCCAAAACAUAAGUUCAAUGGCACAAAUUAUGCCUCAAGGUACAAGUGUAGUGGCAGAAGAAAUUAAGUUCAAGGCAUAAUUAAGUUAUGCAAAAGACAGAAAUUUAGUGGUCUAUGAUAUGUCCCCAAAAAAUAUUUCAACGGCACAAGUUAUGUACAAGGUAUAAGUUCGGUAACUCAAGUUAUGCCACGAGAAUAAGUUCAUUGGCAGAAGUUAUACCCCAAAAUAAAAGUUCAUCAAAAGUCUUGCAAGACUAAUGUUCUCUAAAAAAAAAUUGUCCUGUGAAAUUAAGUCAUAAAUCAUAAUUAAGGAGACUUUGACCCGCAUAUUUUCAGUAAAUGAGCAAUAGGAACAAAGUUAAAGAUCACAAAUUUGAGGUGCAAAAGUUAAAAGACCAUCUCCGAUAGACUGGUUUGGGCCUGUUCUUGGGCCCUGAAAAGCCUUAAGCAGUGAGAGUGAAUUUAGUGGGCUCAAAUUGGACCAGAAAAUGUUCUUAUUUCUUGGAAAAUCUUUCAAAAAUUGAAUACGAAAUUAAAAAUAUAUUUUAUGAAAACUGAUGGUAUCGAUUUACUUUUGAAUUAUUUGAAUAAAAAGUUAAUUACAGGUAAGAUUCUCUAUUAAUUUACUUUAUAAUCUAGUUAAACGGCGGUGCCCUAUAAGAGGCCUUUAUGGGGUUCAAGAUGGAUUCUCAAUUUCUCAUGCCGUCUUUUCAGUCGAGCUCGUAAUAUUGAGUUUGUCUAUUAUAAUUUACAUUGUAUUAGGUUUGCUUUGUCCGUUCUGAUUUACAUCGCGUUGGGUUUGCUUCGUCUAUUGUAAUUUACAUUGCAUAAAUCACAAUAACCCUAAAUUUCUCAUGCUAACUCGAAGUGCAAGUUCGUUUUUUUUUUUUAUAAUAGUUUCAAAAUUAUGAUACUAAUGGCAAUCAAAACAUCAAAAAGAGUUACUUUUUUGUAUAUAAAUAAAUUUUACCCUUUUAAAAAAAAAUAUUUAAAUGAGUUAUAAAUAAGGAAAAUAGUAGUAUAAGGCAACUUGAACACAAAAUUUAUUUUCUGAGUUUGUUUAGGAUUAUAACUCGCCAUGCCCAAAUAUAUAUAGAGAGAGAGAAAAAGGAUUCUGCUGUUGUUGAUUUUCUUCUAUUUUGUUUUUAUAGUAGGCAAAUAUUGUUUCUUCAACGCCAUUGAAGCAAUCAUCAUCAGCAGAAUGGCUACAAUCUCCAGCUCACCAUUGGUGAGCGACAUGGAGUUAAACCGUUUAACCGAAAAAGUCAACAAAGCUGCUGAUGCUGCAGGCGAAGUUGUACGUAAAUACUACUCCAAGGCAGCAAGAUUUCAGUUCAGGGAAAAGGAUGGAGACGGACCAGUCACCUGUGCCGAUGUUGAAGCUGAACAGGCUAUAGUUUCUGUCAUUCUUGAUGCUUUUCCUUCCCAUUCGAUUUAUGGGGAGGAGACUGGUUGGCAUACUAAGGACAAUGCGUGUUUUCUUUGGUGUUAAGGGGAAAGGUACGGCGAUUAAUGGCCAGAGAGUAGAUUCUACAGUGGAUUGUUGUGAUCUUGGUAAAGCUCGGGUUCAUCUGAAGGUUCCGAAUUAUAAUGAUGAUGCCAAGAGAGCUUAUGAUAGUCUUGCGAAGAAGGUGGGGAGGAGGUUGUUUUUGGUGAGUUGGCUUCGGGUUUUGUUGAUGCUGUCGUUGAUUGUGCUCUCGAUCCUUAUGAUUUCCUCGCUCUUGUUCCGGUGUUGUUACUGAUUGGGAAGGGAAUGAGCUUUGCUGGAAUGCUUCGACUAUGGUCCCGGAAGGUGGGUUUAAGAUUGUUGCAACUGCUGGAAAAACCAUUCAUCAACAUGUUAUUUCUGCACUAUCACAAUGAAUUGUUUAGUUGUUUCAUAGAGUUUAUGCAAUUCUGAAAUGUUGCUUUUUAGGCUUUUCUUUACCCCUCUUGUUGUUGCCUAUAAAAUUCAAUGGAAUGUUUUUAGAUAAGCAUACUCCAUAUUUCAACAACAUGCCAUAAUCCCACAAGUACAACUGGGGUCUGGGGAGGGUGGUGCAUACGCAGACCUUACCUCCACCUUUGGAGUGUGGGGUUAGGGGAGCUUAACCCUACCUUUGGAGGCAGAGAGAGGGGGUUUGUUUCUGAUGGACCCUUGGCUCAAGUAAAGUCAUUCAAAGCAUUUUGAGAAACGAAAACAACGGGAGUGAAGAAGCAUACUACAUUUGUUUCAAGAAAUAUGGGAUUGAUCAAAAGUGAUGCAUCACUCACUACCUGCACUUUUUUGAAAAACUAAUCAACUGCUACAAUGCAUCAAUUAGUUGCAGCAGUUACAAAACUUCUCUUGUUGAGCAAUAUCAAUGAUUCAAAUCACAACUCGAUAAUAAACAGAUAUUGAGAUGGGAACUGCUCUGCAGAAUAGGACGCUAUAACCGGCCCACCAAACAAGAACAGACCAUUAGACACAGAAGCAAGAAUAUCUUCUUUUCUAUAUCAAUUAAACUGACUGGAUAUUCAUCUGGAGAACGAAGUUAUUCUGCGAUCCAUUAGCACGUCAAACGACAGAAUCAGUCAGAUAACACGAAGAGUCAACGAUACAGGCAAAUCCUGAGUGCUAAGUUCUCUCAAGAAGAAUCCAAAACAUAAGCAAAUCCCAGCAGCCCAUCUUUCACACAAUUAAGGCAUGUCAAAUGGGCACAUUAUAUCCGAACUCCAUCUAGUCAAAUUUUCACAGAAAUGUCUGAAUCAUUUAAAAAGUUGGUCCACCGUGCAUCAAACUAAUACAUGUUAUGACAGUAUUCUCAAGUAAAGUAUACUUUUCUUGAAUUGCAUCCUAUUUUCCUGAAUAUGGCAAAAGAAUACCUUUAUUCCUUUGGAUCCUGGUAUUACAGCUUAACUACUUACAUUGAAGCAGCAUUCCAAAAAAUAAUGGAUAAUGUCAACUAAUGCAAUAGAACAGUAUUUCAGAUUAUUUUACGUUAAGUGAUGCGAGCAAACAACAACAUACCCAGUGUAAAUCCCACAACCGGGGUCUGGGAAGGUUCAUUAUACGCAGCCUUACACCUACCUUGUGAAGGUAGAGAGAUUGUUUCCGAUAGACCCUCCGCUCAACUGAUGCAAACAAGAAAGAAGACAAUCCAGUUAUAACAUUCCAGGGCUCCGGGUAGAGACACAAUAAGAAGCUUUAAGGCACGAGCUAAUGAUGAAACUCGUUCGUGCAUUAAUCUGAUGGAUCAUCAACAGAAGCAUAUAAAUGGGCUACAACUGACAAAAGAGUGCCCAACUGUAAGUUGUCCCUACUUCCUUUACUCUCUUUGAUCAACAGUGGUUUAUCGCGGUACAACACAUGCUCGAUACUGCCUGCCUAAUAUAAAAAAAUAUAAAACAGGCAAGUUACCAGAAUUUCCAAAUUGAUACAUAAGAUUGGAAACUGCUGUCGUUGUAGGGCCAAUGAAGCAACGGCAGAUUAACUUAUGCGGUCAUUAAAAAAAAGCUCAUUAUGAGUUAAAUAGAUCCAUGUUUGUGAAAGAGUUGUCAACUCAACUCAACCCUUCAGCUGCUCUCUUGACCAUGCAAAGUCAUUACAGAAAUACCAUGGAUAAUCCCUCUUGAGAGAUGGUGAGAGUUCUCGCAUUUUCGUUGAUGAUAGUGGAUUACAUCGAGUUAUAGAACUUGUAAAAACACUAAAGGAAGUAGCAAAAUCACAAUAUUUCCCUCAUCAGCAUAUUGGUUAUUGGAGGCCUGAAUUUAAAAGUUUAAUGGCAAGAAACAAUGUUGGAUGUUUGUGCUUCAGCUGUCUAUCACAGUGAAUUCAGGUGACAUCAGGAAGGACUAAGGUCUAACAAGCAAUAACAUAGAAACACAAAAAGCACCUUGUGGAGGGACUGACAGAAUGGUAUGGUUGAGACAGAGUAUCAACCCAGAGAUCCCAGUCCGUUCUUAGUUACAACACUUAGUGUGUGAACUAUGUGCUCCAACCUUAGUGGGCAGGUUUACCCAGCACCUUGCUUGUGGGUUAUAGCGAACUGAAUGAUACCAAAUCAAGGCAGAUUCUAACUACCGAAUGUGACCUCAAAAUAAUAGGGGUCAAUAUCAAGUCCCCCAAGUUUAGUCCAAGAGGCAAAGGUUGAGGGACUUCUGACUUAGAGGUUUGAGCUCUAAGCCAAGCAAACUAAACCUGGUACUUGAGUGAGGGGCUGGCCAAUUAUCAUCAAGCGGACAAAUUUCUCAUUCAUAAAGAAAAACAAAUAACAGUGUCAAGGUCGGCUAGUGAGACUAUGGGGAAUAAUCUUUAUCCUCGAGAUCGACUGGUCAAUUGAGGUGAAUGAAAGUUGACUGGACACACCAUCAUCAAAAAAGUAAUCUACGAAAAAAAUAAAGAACCAUAUGAAAGAAAGAAUUUUUUAGAUGUUGAAUGGAAUUUUCGAUGAGAUAGCAACUGAUGCAUCAAUUUAAAAAGAAAAAAAUAAAGGGCAACCAAGUGCAAUAAAGCUCCCGCUAUGUGCAGGGUCCAGGGAAGGGCCCGACCACAAAGAGUCUAUUGUAGGCAGCCUUACCUUGCAUUUCUACCAAAGGCUGUUUCCAAGGCUUGAACCCAUGACCGCCUGGUCACGUAUCAGCAACUUUACCAGUUACUCCAAGGCUCCCCUUCAAACUGAUGCAUGAAUUAUAUGACAAAAUAUAGCUAUUAGCAUAUCUUUAUCAUACUUUGUAUACAAUGUUUCCGCUAACUCCUAUCAUGUAAGCAUCAAGAAAUAUGUAAGUCACCUAUUAUCAAAAGAAACACUAACUACCAUCCACCAACAUCAGAAUUAAAAAGCAGAAUUUUUAACUCUCGGAGAAAAGCAGUUGCAGUGAUCCCAUGCUGCCAUGCUUCAGAGGGUUAUGAUAUAAUUGAAAGAACAGGAAAGGAAGAACCACACCAUUGAAGAACAAAAUAGGAUUUAUUGGAAAAAACAACAUACGGCUUCAGCUACACAUAGGUGAAAGGAAAGUUAGAGAUAAACGAAAAAGACAGAAUCUAGUUGGAAAUGCUUGUGUAGUAGCUGGCAGGGGAGAUUACAUCUGUAAAAGAUUUUUGGUGCUUCUCAUGGAUAAGUGGACAUAUACAUUGUCCACGAGAAGUGGGGUAUGUUGAGCUUUUUUCACUUUGGAUUGUGGAAAAAUGGAUUAAUAUCAGGUAGACAGCAGUAUUCAGGCCCACCACACCCUCUUAAAUCUCAAUGCAGCAAUGUGAACUGUCACAAUCCAUCUACGCUUCAAAUACACAAGAGAUUAACAAGAUACAGCACAUACCAAUAUUCUUAAAUUGCAUUUUCAAAGCAGCAAUUUGCUCGUAUGAUGCAUUUAUAUCACAUAGUCUGGCCACAAACAGCAUAUUUCUCAGUCCAUAAACUGUCAUUAACAGUUGAACCACCUGCAUGGAAUUGGUCAUAUCAAAGUUAACAUGUUAAAACAACAUGUGUAUAUCAUUAGUAUGCAGGAGAUAACCAUAUAUAUCGGACUGCAAUAAGGGACAUUCUGCCUGCAUCAAAAAAUGGACAAGUGGAGAGUUCCUUGAAACAAGGCAGAUACCAAUUGCUAGUUAACGUUUCUCAGAUUGAUCACAGCCAUACAAAGACAUGAACCAGAGGAAGCCUUUAACCAAGAAUAAAUGGAUUUCAUAUUCUUCUCCAUGGAAAUUGGAAAAGUAAAUGAAAAGAACUAUAAUUGAACAAUUUACAACCAAACUGGCAAAAAUGUCUAUUUGUCUUGGCUCUCAGCUUGAGCAACUGAACAUACGAAAAGAACAAAUCAACUAUUUAAAAUGAAAGUAUAAUUGAAUUUCAUAGUCAAUAAAUCACAGCUCGCUAAAGUAUACGUUAGAACUCAAGGUUGAAUCCAAUCAAAUUGACUAUUCAUUUUUCCAAGCAUAUAAAAAGAGUGAGAAACCAAGAUUAUGCGACUGGGCCUCUCUGAAUCUCUGUGACCAAGACCAAUUUAGUGUUUGGGGAUCGCAGAUGGGCUGUGUUGCCCAUAAUUUCUCAGCUGAAAUGUUGGUCUUGAACAUGAAGACGGCACUUCCAAUGGAUGUGCCAAAAAGCCAGUUAUGGACAUCAUAAAACACUUCUACAGCAAGGCCAUCAACCAAAAUGGUAUGGUUACCGCGGAACUUCCACCUUAGCCUCUUUACCUGCAACAUUGGCUUACUGUCCACGCGGAUGACAAGGCAUGGGUCGCUGGUGCCACUUGUAUCACAUUCAAUCACGAGAUCAUGGACUCGGCCAUUAUCACAAAACUGAGCCUUAGUGGCAAAUACCUUCUUGCCAAAUAUAUGUUCCUUCUUAGCAACAAAAACAGCACCAGAAGCAGCAGGAGUGGCACUUGUUUUCUUGAUAGCUUCUUUUUUCUUAUCACCAAGGAGCAAAAUCAUUUGCCUUUCGGAAACCACACACACAUAGAAUCCUUCCAAUGGCUCUGGACCAGAUCCAAACUUCGCUGAGGACAGGUCCCAAUAUACAUCAAUUUUCCUAGAAUAUGCUUCUAAAGUCUUUGACCCUUUCUUCUUAGAGAACAACCAGGGCUUAAUAUCAACCUUACAAAGACACUGAUUUGUAUUAUCAUCAAUCCCAACAGUAAGACCUUGCCCCAUCAAAUUCUUACCCCAGGUAACAUUAAGCAAACAAGAUUUCCCACGCAACUUACACUGAUAAACACAAGUCACCAAAUUCUGAGCAGCCUUAUUACCACUUGAUGAUGAAAAAUCAGCUACUUGAACCCCAGUUUCCCCAAAACAAGAAGGAAAAUCCCUCAUGUUUUAACCAAAAAUAUCUCUAUUCUCCAACAACCUUGGUUUUUCUUCUACCCCUUUUCUUCUCUCUCAGAUUUAUGCACAAAGAUUCAAUUUUUAACUACAAACAACACAAAUAGUAACUUUCAGAAUUGGGCACAACAAACAAAAAGGCCAAAAAAAAAGCAUACAACUUGAGGUGAAAAAGCAACAUACCUCAACUAAUCAGCAAAGAAAGACACAAAACUAUAUCAAGAUUUGCUUCAAAAUCUUCUUCUUCUGUGUUCUUGAUUUGAUCUGAGAGUUAUGUAUAAAAGAUGCAUUUUGCUGCACACAACAAGGAACCCAAACUUCUUAAAAAGGUGAAGAAAAGGAUGAGGGUCCCUCUAAAUGAGAGACAAAACUGAGGAAUGUAGCAGUAAAAAAAAAACAAAUAAAAUAAAAGAAUAUGAUAGAGAGUGAAAGAGGGAGAAGGAAACAAAAAGCAGACUAGACAGACUCAUUUCACUAUCACAAAAAUAAAGAUCUAACACCAACUCAAUAUACAUAUAUAGUACAUAGAAAAAUACUUUUAAAAGAUUGUAAGGAAAAAAAUUACAGAUAGAUAUAUACAUACUAGUAAGAUUGUGACAGGCUCAAAUAAAGUAACAGCAACUCAGUGUUUCUGGAAAAGGCAGUUUCUUUUUAAACAAGACUACUCAAUGAAAGAUACAGAGAAAUAGAAAAAAAAAAUGAAUUACCAGACUGUCUAUGGAAUUUUUCUUUUUUUGAUUUAGCUUUUACCUGACAUUUUCACAUGUAGAACAAAACAGAUAACUUUUCACAGAUCACCUACUCUCCAAGAUGGAUUUUUCACAUGUAAAAAUUUGAUCUUUAAAUGUACGUGAUUCUUGAGAUAGAUUUACCGAUUGAAUUAGAUUUAUCCAUCCUUUAACCUUGUUUCAUUAUUGUAAAUUAGAAGCCAUAUACUACUUGGUAAAACUUUGAUUUUUGAAUGUACGCGCUUCUUGAGAUGAAUUUACCGAUUAAACUAGAUUUACUCGUCCUUUUACCUUGUUUCAUUAUUGUACAUCAGAAGCCAUAUACUACUUGAUAAAAAAUUGAUAUUUGAAUGUACGUGCUUCUUGAGAUAAAUUUACCGAUUAAACAAACUUUAUCCAUCCUUUAACCCUGUUUCAUUAUUAUUGAAUCGAAGUUAUAUAAAAGAUCUUAUAUACGAACCAUCACAGAUACGACAUAAGAAAAUGUAAACAGAAGAGGAAAAAAAUGGUUUGUUUCUACUUACUCAUUACUCUCCAAGGUAUUUGCAUAAACUGAAUUAAAAAGAAGGAAGAUAAAUGAAACUUGUAACUCCUUUAAUUCUUCAUUUAAAAGGGUAAAUAUUGUCCUAAGAAUCUUGAAAUGAAAUAGAAGGGAACUUCUUAACACUUCCAAUUGAAGUAUGUUAGUAAUUGAUAAUGUUACAUUUUAAAUGUGCAUUUAUUUGCUUCAUUUUUACUUUAAAAGUGAAGAUAUGUUAAGAAUUUUGAAAUUAAUUACAGAGACUGCUUCUUAAUUACCACUUUGAAUUGAAAUACUAUGCAGUAGUAAUGUUUAGAGAUUAAGAAGAAUUCAAAGGGAAUUCAAUGCUAGUAUGACCAUUUACUUAAGACACUGAUUUUGAAAGACUUUGAGGGAGUAUGUGAAUAAACGGAUGGGGGCCAGAAUUUUGAUUAAGAAAGUUCAAAAUCGAAAAAAGCAAAUACAUAAACUAAUCGAAGGGGUUCAACAUCAACUAUAUAUACAUAAAACAUGAUUUUAACUAUAUAUAAAUAGUAUAAUUUUAUGUUAAAAGGGAUUCAAAUGAACCCGUAACCCCAGCCAUAAGGUGGCUCCGCCCCAGGUCCAAACAAAACAUGCAAGUGGUAGACACGAUGUUGCAUUUAAUUAGUCAAAUAUGCAUGUGUUACAUUGCCUAUACUAAUACCAUUUGGAAUCCCAAGAGAGGUGCUGGCCCAGCCAGAUGGUGCUCUACCAAAAACUCCAUAAUGUACCAUAAAACUUAUACAGUUACAACUAGUACUAGGAGAAAUUUGAAAUAGAAAACAUUGGGUUAUUCUUGUAUUCUUCCCUAAGAAAUUACACUAAAUAUAUGAUUAAAAAAAUUAAGUGCAUAUGCUAGAUAUUAACUAUUUUGGACUUUGUCGUAUUUCUAAAAAAAAAUUGUGAUUAUGUACAGCACUAUAAGCUCAGUCAUACGGAACUUAAUUCGAGUGAGUGAUUAUUGAGUGUGUGAAAAGAAAUCGCAUAAAUGAAAAGACUAAAAAACUAUAUAUAUAAUGAAAAAUCUUUUAAUGGUGUGAGACUUUUAGAGAACAAAGACUUUUGGGUUGGAUGAACUCAACAACAGACAACAAAGCUCUGGUUCAGCGGGCGGAGUAAUAGGGUGCAGAGCUCGAUUUGCUUACCUUUACGAGCUUGUAGAUGCACACACAAAAAAAAAAAGCUAGUUGCAUGCUUCGAUUACUAUAAAAAUAUUUUAAAAAAUGAUGUGGUGGCAAAUAAUGAAAUCUCGGUGACCCGUGGCUCAUGGUAAUGGAUCACGUGGAAAUAAAAAGGUGCUCUAAUACCGAUUUGAAGGAAAAUAUUUUAUACAAUAACCCAAAGAAUUUUCCUUACUCUCCUUACAUUAAGUAUGUAACAGGGUAACUCAAUUUAUAAUACUAGAAAACCAAAUUAAAUUAGGACUAGAAAACUUAUUUCUAUAUGAAUUAGGAUAAAUAAAUCCUAAUCCUAACUAGAUAUGAAUUAAAAUAAUACAAAUAUUAUAAAUCCUAAACAAAAGAUUUUGAUUGUUCUAUUCUUGUUCUCUUCACUAAAUAUUUACUCUAUUGAGAUGUAAGUAGUUUUCAAGAACGAAAUAAAAUGAAAAAAUAAUAAUUAAUUUUAUCAUAAAUUUUUAAAAUAAUGUAAAUAAUUUAAAAUAACUAUUUUUAGAAAUUAUGAUGUAAAUAACUUGAGAUGAAAAUUAACAAAUAUCAAAUAAUUAUCAAAACAUCUUGCUAUGCCUGUUCUCAUGACACUUGGGUGCCUCUCUUCCCCAUAAUUUAAAAAGAAAAAAGAAAGGGUAAAGGAAGCUUCAAAACAGAAGAUAUAGUUGUCUAUUUAUGAAAUGACAAAAAGUAUUUAUAUAAAAAAAAAAACAUUCCCUAGUCUCAAAUCCUAGUAAGUAAAUUACCAGGAAGGUGUUAAUAUUUAAUCAUUGAAUCAAUAAUGUUGAUCUCUUUUUUUAUGUUAUUUUUAAAGUGAAAAGUAGUUUAAAAAAAAAUAUAAAACGUUUUUUUCCUCUCUGAAUUAUAUUUGGUGUUAAUAAAGAGUCCACUCAAUUGGAGUUGCUAUUUCUUCAACCUAGAUUAAUUUUAAGUGUGAAAGUCAGAAUUUACUUUUAGUUUACAUUCAAGAAUUAUUAUGUUUGAUUCACAACCUCCCACUCCAUUUCUAAUCCAUAUGGUCCCCUUGUACAAAUAAAAACAAGAAAGAAGAAUUAAUGCUGCAAUUGUAAGUUUCUCAACAAUAAAUUUAUUACACUUUGGAGCUUAGUUCCACACUUAUCCUCUUUUUUUUAAAAAUAAAUAAAUAAAUAAUCCCCUUUAGUACAAGUGGAUAGUUGCCCUAAAAAUUUAGUCAGCUUCUAGUCUCCCUAAAUACUCAAAACAACAAAACAUAAGAAUGUGAGUUUAAUUGAGUGAGUGUAGAUUUUUCCAUUACCAGGUCACAUUUAUAUGUUAUGAUAUUGUAGAUUCGAUUUUUUUCAAUAAAAAAAUACUUCGUAAACAUUUUGAAAGUUAUUUGAUAGUGUAAAAAUAUAACAACGUAGCAUUUAUGAUUAUCUCGAGAGUAUAGUAAAUACCAUGCAUGCUUUGAGGCUUGAGCCAUGCAUGUUCUGCUGAAUUUUUGGUUUACUAUAUACUUCCGUUAAUGACGAGAUUAAUUCAAAACGGUUUGCAAACAGUAAUCAUGUGAAUAAAAUAAAAAAUAUAACGAAGGAAAUUGAUUAACUUUUAUAUAGUACAUGAACAAAUGAUUAUUUGACAAUUUCUCAAGUUUUAAGUCAAUUGGAGGUUUAUCCAUGCGAAAGUUGGCAGAAUUUUUCAUUAAAAAAAUUAUUAACAACAAAUAAGAAAUUAUUAUUUAUAGAUUAUAUAAAAAGUCCCAACUCUCAAUCAUUAUUUCUCUCUGAAUAAUUCGAUAUUAUAGCACCAAGAAAGAUAGUUAGUUGAUUAAGUAGGUAUUAGUAGGACAUCCACCAACAAAUAUAUUAAGAGUUGAGUUGUUGAACCAAUUUUUAGUCUUAGAUAUAAUGGUUAAUUUGUAUUCCAUUUCCUCUUUCUUUUUUCCUUUCUUUAUUUUUGAUUUUUUAUUUAGUAUAUGACAUUUAUUUUUAAAUGUCGAUCAAUUUGAAUUCGCACAAAUGCUCCCAAUCAUAAUUUAUUUCAUUUUAUGGAUUCAAAGUUGGAAAUUUCUAAGUAAUUAAAAGAUUGGAUCGGAUUAUUCUAUUUAUUUUGCUGCAAUCCAUUCCUAAUUCUUUUGAUUUUUCAUUUAAAUUAUAAUCUCAGUUUAAUUUGGUGUUGCCAUUAUGGAAACAAGUAAGUUCAUGCUUAAACGACACGCUAUUGUCUUGAAGUGAUCAUAAUAGAGGUAUUUAAUUAAUUAAUUUAUUAAUUAGAUUAUGCUUCGUAUAAAUAGUACUAGUACUAAACUUUAUUAGGCAAGUAACCAAGUUUGAUUAUUGCUUCAUUGAAAUUUCCUUGACUUCACCUACAAAAAAUUAUACGAGUUAAUAACUCAAAUAGUGACUCAAUUAAGGUCUAACAAAGUUAUGUGAUUUCCUGAAAUAAAAGUUUUUAAUUAGUUGAGUGAUCAUUUGAGUUAUUAACUCAAAAAUUACUAAUAAUAAGCUCGUUUAAGUUGCAUUACAAUGUCAAGACUAAAUUAAGUUUAUACUUUUUAGUAAAUAAUGAGAAUAAAAUACCUAAACUUUAACCCUAAAAUUCAGCGCAAGAAGCAAACGAGUUGAGCUUGAUAUCACGAAUCAAUUUGGACUAGAUAUCAAUUCAAAUUUGAUGGACUAUAACGAGCUAGCUAUAAAAUUUUGGGCUAAAUAUCAAUUUAAAUUUUGAUGGGUUGUAACCAGCUGAGCUAAAAUCGGUCGAGCUAGUAAAUAGGUGAAUCAAUAAUCAAUCUAAACAUAAAUAAAUUUAACAAAUUAUGAUUUUAUGGGCUAAUUUUAUCCCGUCUAUCUUUAAUUAAUAUCAAUAGUUAUAUAGGGAGGGAAGAAAUUUUUAAAUUUGGAAUUUUGGAUACAACUGCAAAACAUUAAAAUUUGAAAAAAGGAAACAAAAAAAGAACAACUAGCUAACCAAUUUUUUUUUAAAGGCAUAUAAAGAAAUAGUAAAAGAAAAUAGAAUUGGUUAGGGAGAUCGUUAUUAAUUGGAAAAAAGGUCUGUCGUAAGCUUGGAAAGUGGUCUUCACGAGUGAUUUAGUUGGCAGAUUUAGCAAUUUUUUAUGUAUCCAUUUUUAAUAAACAUUUUAAAAGAUUGAAAUAUUUUUCAAUCGUGUGAUCUUAAACAUGUGCAAAAUUAAAAUUAAAGAGUUUUCAGCAAAGAACAUGUGAAAAAUUGAAAUUGAAGAUUUUCAUAAAAGAAGAAACAAAACAUUCUUUUUAAAAGAGAUUUUAAAAAAUAAGACAAACAAAUAAAAUAGAUUAGUGGCUAGUAAGAAGUUUAUAUUAACUUUAUUUCAUGUUUGGCAUAAAAUAUUAUCUAGUCUCAAGACUAUUUUAUUUCAUAAUUUGUAUUAAAAUGGUGGAAUUAUUAUUCAAUGUACAGGGUAGAAUAAAAUAAUCCCAUAAAUAUAUCACGUCAUGAAUAUUCCUACUUAUCUUAUUCCGUGUACCAAACGACCCAUUAGUGUCCCUCUCCUUGUUUGUUGAUUUCACACCAAACAAGCUUAAUCCAUUUUACGUCCCUUUGUUGUCUUAGGAAUAGGUUUAAUUUGUUCUAAACUACUUUCUCCGUCUCAAAUUAUCCGUUCCAAAUUUCCUAAUUUAAUUUCUCAUUUUACUUGUCUUUUGCCAUUAAUCACAAAGAGACAAUUUUUUUUUCAUGUUUUACCCUUUGCAUUAAUUACUUUUUCUUCGAAUUAAAAUGUAAACAUCAUUUAAUAGGAGUACUAUAGUAAAAUAGUCAUGUUAUUAAUUAUUUUUCUUAAUCAAUGUAUCAUCUCAAUUUGAGUCGGGUAAUUUGAGAUGGAGGGAAUAUUAAACAUAGUUAAUUAAUUGCUAAAAGAAUUACUAAUAAAUACAUAAAUCAAAAAAGAGAUGGCAUUCCUCAUAACUUAACAGUACAUCAUUAUCAUAGAGUUAAUGAAAGCUCAACUAAAAAAAAUUAAUCUUUAUUUUUUUUUUCCAUUUUUUUUCCCUCUUUUAUGGGUUGGCAAGAAAACUGAUUUUCAAUGGCGUAUUAAAGUUGAUUUGUAUCUAUCAUGGGCUCUACUAAUUACUCCUUCUAUUCUAAAUUAUUCGUUUCAAAUUGAGAUGAUACAUUAAUUAAAAAAUAAUUAAUAACAUAGCUAGUUUAGCAUAUUACCUCUAUUAAAUGAUGCUUACAUUUUAAUUUAAAUAAAAAGUAAUUAAUGUAAAGGAUAAAAUAUGAAAAUAUUUUUUUGUUUCUUUUUGAUUAAUGAAAAAAAAAUAAGAUGAGAAAUCAAAUUAAAAAAUUUAGAACAGAUAAUUUGGAUCGGAGGGAGUACCAUUCUACGUGAUUGCAAUUUACAAUGAUAUUAAGAUGAUUAUCCAAAUGAAGUUGUUAUAUUAUACACAUAACACAAUAGAUUUUUGUAUGCUUGUUAAUGACCUUGAUAGAUUAAGUUAAUCUGAAAAAGAAAAAGACAAAUAUAUUAAUUAAUUAAAUGAGAUAAACACAAAUUACCAAUAACAAUUAUUGAGCUUGCAGGCUUCACUAAAAUGAUUAAAAUACUAAAAAAGUGUCAGCAGUUAAUUUGAUAUCUGAAAUAAAUUAUUGUUAAAAUCGUUUUCUUAAGUGUCCUUUGAUUGGCCAGUCGCCACAUCAAUCAUACUAGUAUUUUUGAACAACGUGUAAUGUCUCAAAAGUUUUUGAUCCCUUCGUUAUAGUUUUUUUAUAUUGGAUCAUGUCCUUAUGAAUCGAAGAUAUGUCACGUAAUGUGCAAUUACAUUUAGGGGUGAUUUGGUGUGCGGUAUUAAAGUAAAUAAUUUUGGGAUAAAAAUUUUAAUCAUUUAUUUGUUGUCAAUAUUUGGAAGUACUUAUCCUGGAAUUAAUAAUUAGUCCCAGAAUAAGUUAUUCAUUGAUAUGGUGGGAUUAUUAUCCCAACUUAAUUUAUCUUUGGUAUAAAAUUAUAAAAUGACAAAAAUACCCUCAAAUCCUAUAAUUUUCAUUUCACACAUACAUAUAUAUAUAUAUAUAUAUAUAUAUAUUAUUUAUGAAUAUAUUAUACGUUAAAUUUAUUUGAAUAAUUAUUACUCUUAUUAAUAUAUUUUAAUUUCUUUAAAAAAUAAUUAAAAUGCCGACUCCAUUGUUGAAUUACUUAUUUUAAAUUAAAUAAUUUUUUAAUCACUUGAAAAUUGAUAUUGUAUAUAUCAAUUAAAAUAAAUUUUAAUAUUUUAGUGUAUGAGUGAUAUGUGUUUAAAUGAAUUGACAUAAACAACAAAUCAUCUUUUACUUUAAACAAACUUAAGUUGGAAGUUUUUAUUUCAAACUAAAUAAAAUGUAGUAAGAUUUUUUUUUAAACACACACGGCAUAAUCAUGAAAAGGCACACGCAAGAAAAUUAAAGUUAAAUAAGAUGAAAGUUUUAUUUUUAAAAUACACAUGAUAUAAUCAUGAAAAUGCACACACACAAAAAUUAAGCUAAAUAAGAUAAAAGUUUUAUUUUUAAGAAUAAAUAUUUAAAACUUGAAAAAAUAUAUAUAUAUAAAAAAAUAGUUAAAUAAGAUGGAGGGUAUUUUGGUAAUCAAUUAAUUGAUUCUUAAAAAUUAUACCAUGCAUAUUACCUUGAAUACAACAAACCAAACACUCAACAAAAAAUAAUCCCAACAUAACUAAUUCUAGUAUAAUUUAUCUCAUAACCUAUUCUAGUAUAACUAAUCUCAUCAUAACUACAUUCCCAACCAAACGACCCUUACAGUCUUUUUCAAUCUAUCUCUACAUUUUAUUACACCUAAUACUAUCAACAUCUAACACUUUUUUUUGUGUGUGUUUCUCAUCCGGUAUCUGGUACCUGCAUUAGAGUCCGAUUAAUUUGAAUUUGCACUGCGUAAGGCCCCAUUCGGGGGGAAAGCACUCCCUACCAAGAAUUUUUUUAUACACAGAGCUCGAACCCGAAACCUUUGAUUAAAAGAGGAGCAGCCUCAUCCGCUGCACCAUAUCCUUUUACGGAGUCUAACACCUUCUCAUUAUGACAUUUUUGCUCAUUUUCUCUUUACAUAAAUCAUCUCAGUUUUGCUUUAUGAUGUUUUGUCCAUCAGUGAGUCACUCCCACACUUUAUUUCAUGUAUCUUCGUUCUUUAUAUAUUUUUGAUCGGUCAACACUCCAUCCCAUAGAAUAUAUUAAUUCAAAAACAAAUCUAUAAUACGUUCUUUAAGUAUCAGUGGCACACUCGUACCACAUACGAUACGACGCCAGAUGGAUGACUGUAUUUUAUUCAUUCCAUUUCAAUAUGAUAUGUGAUAUCAUUAGUGAUCUCUCAUGAUAUUUAGAUAAAAUUUUAAUUCAAUUUGAAAAUUUUUAUUUCAAAUUCAAAAUUCACUUAAGAGUAGAAUUCUAAUUCCAAAUUUGCGAUUUUAAUUGCUUUUUAAAAAAUUAAAACAUAACCAUAAAUUUACAUUUUUGCAAAGAUGUCCAUAAUUUUAAAUUUUGUAAAAAAAAUUAUAUUCAUGCUCGAUGUGAAAAAACUAUUUGUACAAUAUGAGAUAAUUAUAUUAAAAAAUAUUUAUUUAUUAUUACAGUUAAUUAUUUGAAUCCAUGAAUUUUUUAAAAAUUUAUAAUACUCCAUCCAUCGCAUUUGAUGUGUUGUCAUUUCCUUUUUGGUAUGUCGAAAAAAGAAUGCUAUUUAAUAACAUUAUCUCUAUUUUUUAUUUUUUUUUACUGAAUUUCACUUAAUCUGAAAGGACAAAUAAAAAUAAAUAUUAAAGUGACUUUAAGAGGAAUAAAACUAUACUCCCUCUGUCCCAUUUUAUUUGUCUCAAAUUAACUUGGCACAUUGAUUAAGAAAAAUACCCCCUCUAUUUAAAAAAGAAUGACCUAGUUUGACUUGGCAAAGAGUUUAAGAAAAUAAAUAAGACUUUUGAAUCUUAUGAUCUUAAAUUAAAGAUAUGUCAAAUAUACAAAAAUGUCCUUUAAUCUUACGUCUUAAACAUGUCACGUGGAAAUUUAAAAUUUAAAAAUUGUCAAAAAAGAAAAGAGGUCAUUCUUUUUUAAACGGAUUAAAAAGGAAAAUAUGACAUUUUUUUUAAAGGAGGCAGUAAUUAAUAAUAUGACUACUUUAUUAUAGUACCCUAUUAAAUGAUGUUUAUAUUUUAAUUUGGAGAAAAAGUAAUUAAUACUGAGGAUGAAAGAGGAAAAAAAAUUGGCUUGUCUUGAUUAAUGAAAAAUGACAAGUAAAAUGAGAAAUUAAAUUAAAAAUUUGGAAUGAGUAAAAUGGGACAGAGGGAGUAAACUUUAUAAAGUUAUUACUCUCUCCAUUUCAAAAUAAAUGAAUUGUUGAGCUAUUUUUCAAUGUUUAAAAUAAAUGAAUUGUUCAUUUUUCAAUAGUCGUAUUGAAAAUUUAUUUCAAUUUUACUUUUUCAUUUAAUGGGGUUCUGAAGCACAUCAUAUUUUUUUAGGAGAGUAAUUUAAGAAUAAUUAAAAGGAUAAUAGUGACAAAUAACCUAUAAUUUAUGUACUAAAAAAAUUUUCUUACGAAAUGUGUCAUACACCCAACAAUUUUAUUAUUUUGAAACAGAGAGUGUAUUUAUUUUAAAAAUUUUGUAUUCGAUUAAAAGACCACAUCUAUAUCUAUAUCUAUAUCUAUAAUCUAUAAUCUAUCUAUCAAUAUCUAUAUCUAUAUCUAUGAUCUAUAAUAUAUUAAAAGUGUUAAGACUCUUAGAAAAGUGAUUUGAACUUUUUGCCCUUCAUUAAAAAACUCUUCUUUAGAUAAAACUGUCUUUUCACUAUUUUUUAAUUUAUUAUUUAACUACUUUUAUUAUAUUAACUAGACAUCCUAAAAUAUAUGGGCCUCUUAAAAUAUAUGAUAGGAGAAUUAAUUAAUAUUUUCUUUUCUACUGUUUAAUUAGAAAAAUACUCCUAAAAUAGGACUCAAUUAAGAAAACACUUUUAUAAAUAUUGAGAUGUACAUUAAACUAGAGAACAAAUCAAUUUGCCUAUUGGGAGAAUAUGAUUGAUGUUCAUCUAACUCGAUUUGAUUGCAUGUCUAGAUUGGUGGAUGCUUGAUUUUCUAACCCUCAACUUUUUCAUUGUUUUUGUCAGCAUGAUAGAAUUCAACAUGUGUAUGUAUGUGUGUGUGUAUAUAUAUAUCCUCUUUGUUUUCAUUCAAGAUCAUUUUUUAGGGUCAAAAUUUUCACUCAGACAAGAAUUAGUUGGAUCAAAAUCGAAGUUUUGUGAUCACUAUUAUAUUUUUCUUUUAUAGUUUACAGGUAGUAGACGAAUGUCGGUUGAUUUUGAAGAACUUCUUGUGUAAAGUUUAGAUUUAAUUGUAUUAUUUUAAUAUCUCUAUUAUCUUAUUAUUUUAUUUUAAUUUACAGAUGCUAGAUGAAUGUGGGUCGAUUUUGAUUUUCUUUUGUAAAGGUUAGGUUUAAUUGCAUUAUCGUAAUAUCUCUAUUCAAGGGCGGAGCUACAUGUAAGUUAGGGGGUUCAACCGACCCCCCUUCAAUAAAAAAUUAUAUUAUAUAUAUGUAAGUAAUAAAAUUUUAUUAAUUUGACCCAUACGAAAUUUGAAUUAUAUUAAAUUCAAAAUAUAUUAGUCCCAAAUAAAUAUUGCGGAUUAAUAUAAUUGAAUUAAUUAUUUAAGUCCAAACAUGUAUGGAUUUAAAUAAGGUCCAAUAUUUAUUGGGCUACAAAUAAUGAGUCCACUUUACCGAGUCCAAGAUAUGAUCAUAUUUCAGAGGCUCAAAUAAACGUUACGUAUCAAAUGACGUGGCAUGUCAAGUUAAGUAAAGGAGUCAAUAGGAUCAUGCCACAUAUCAAAAUGAUGCAGCAGGCCCAUGAAAUAAAAGCCCAUAAAAAGGCGCUACAUCACUUAAAUUUGAUUGGUCAAAGGAAGAACAUAUUCAUCAUGACUCUUCCUUUUCUACAACUAUAAAUAGGGGUCUCAUAAUUCAGAAAAGGGACCCCCCCCCCCCAGAUCUCUAACAAGUAGCAAGAGAAAGCUCGUGGAUCAAACACCGCAAUUUCUCUAAAAAGCUCAAGCAUUCAAAUCAAGUUCAUCAAGAUUCAAGAUCAAGACCGCAAUAUUUAAGAACAAGAUCAAAACCCCUGAAUUCAAGCAUAAGUCAAGAUCAAGUCCAUCAAGUCCACAAACCAAGUUCAAAUUCAAGAUCAGGCUUUAAGCUCUUGAAUUUAUAUUUAAAAAGGCGAAUCAGAGGAUUCAUAGAGAUUGUAACACUCUCAUUGAAAUCAAUAAAAUUGAUUGUUGCAAUAUUUUCUUGUCUCAAAUUAUUAUUUAUUUUUCGAUCUCAAAAAUUUUAUUAUCCAACAAAUUCUGGCACGCCCAAUGGAACAAUCUCUACCUCUCAUCUCAAUUUUUCAUACUUCAAAGUUUAAGAACAACGAAAUGACUUCCAAGAAGGUCGAUUCUCAAUCAACUGCUUCCAAGGCUGCAGAUUCAAAGUUCCCUGCUGAAGUAGAAAGCAUCCUUGGUGUUACUUUCGGAAGCCUGGGAGCUGUCACAAGAAGCAAGGAAGGUUUGCUAGGACAACAAACACAUCCAGUGUCGUCCUCUCCAGCUUUAAUUUUCGGAUCCUCAACCCCAAAAGGAACAAAGUCCAAUGAAAGUGCUUCAGAAGGAGGAAGCAGUGUGGCCGAAUCGCUGAAAAGGACUCUAGCUCUACUCGAGCAUUCCGAUUCCAAAUCCUCUGGAGCCAAGAGCGAUGGUUGUUCAACAAAUGCGUUAUCUCCACUUACACCACAUAAGCUAAGCACUUUAAAAAUCAACUUAUGUGAUAAUUUGUGUUACUCUCCAAUAUCUCUGAUGAUCAUACAAACAAUGGUAAUUGAUGCCUCGUCUAUGGAGGAGCAACUUGUGAAUCUAACAAAGAAAAUUGAAGGCCUGGCCAACUAUGUUCAAAAUCAAGAGGCUAGGAUUGAUAAGAUAGUGGAUAAAGUGGAAGGAUUGAUAGACGGAGAAUCUAGCCAUGUACUGGGAAAAACUCCAGAGGUUUAUGCGAUAGAAAAUCCUAUGAAACAAACACCACCGACUAAAGAGGUGCAAGUUUCUGCUGAAGGAAUGAUCCCGAUUGGGCAAUUGAGGGAAUUUAUUGAAGAGACCCUCAAAGACAAGUAUGAUAUUGUCACCAAGUCUUCCCUUGCGUAUGCCAAGCCCUACACUGCGAGAAUAGAUAGCCUCAAAAUGCCUGUCGGCUAUCAACCCCCCAAAUUUAAAUGAUUUGAGGGCAAAGGUAAUCCGAAACAACAUGUCGCACACUUUGUUGAGACAUGUAAUAAUGCUGGAACUUACGGUGACUAUCUUGUCAAACAGUUUGUUCGUUCCCUAAAGGGAAAUGCUUUUGAUUGGUAUACGGACCUCGAUCCUAACUCCAUCAAUAGUUGUGAGCAAUUGGAACACUAUUUCCUAAAUCAGUUUUAUAGCACAAGACGUAUAGUGAGCAUGAUAGAGCUUACAAAUACUCGGCAAAGAUAGGAUGAGCCAGUCAUCGACUUCAUUAAUCGAUGGAUAAAUGCGAGUCUAAACUGUAAAGGUAGGCUCAGUGAAGCUUCUGCAAUAGAGAUGUGCGUCCAAGGAAUGCACUGGGGGCUUCUCUACAUCUUGCAAGGAAUUAGAUCAAAAUCCUUUAAAGAGUUAGCUACUCGUGCUCACAAUAUGGAGUUGAGUAUGUCUUCUGCUAGACAGGAAGGAGCGUUUAUUCAUGACCCUCGAAGGGGAAAAGAAAAGCAGGAACGCAGAAGAUGGGGCAAGUUUGUUCCCAAAAAUAAAAACAAAGAGUCCAUGAAUGUUGAUGUGUCUCCUGUGAAGGUCACCACAAAGGUAAGUAAGAAGCGAAAUGUGAAGAUGACUUCUGGAGUAUGUCCGAAUAAAAAAACUUUAAAGGAGAUGUAAGAAAAGGAAUAUCCCUUCCUUGAUUCUAGGAAUAUCCCUUCCUUGAUUCUAAUGUUUCUAAGAUUUUCGAUGAACUCCUUGAGCAUAAGCUCAUUGAAAUCCUAGAGAUGAAGUGUCCCAAUGAAGCUGGAAGGACCAAUGACCCUAAUUAUUGCAAAUAUCAUAUGCUCAUAAGCCAUCCUCUGGAAAAGUAUUUUGUUUUUAAAGAUAAAGUCAUGCAACUGGCAAAAGAGAAGAAGAUCUUAUUCGACGAUGAGACGACCACUUCUCAUCAAAUAUCUAUUACUUUUGGCUCACUCGACCCAGUCCAAAUAUGUGUCAAAGAGCAUAAUGAGAAAAUAUUAGAGCCUGACAGGUCUUCAGUUGACGAAGGGAAUGAUGAGGGUUGGACUCGGGUGACGAGGCGCAGUCGCAGAAGGAUGAGUUUGCAAAAGGAGUCAUCUGAGCAGCCAACUAGAAGGAGAAUGGUAUAGAAACCAAGAAAAUAGAAGUUGGUUGAAUUCCCAAAGAAAACGAGGGUGACUGAGCUUCACCACCAAAAACCUCGGCGUCCGAUGACUUUAGAGAAAUUCUUACUGAGUUGGUUUCAUGUAAAGACUGCCCAAGUCAACCUUGAGGCAUCUUGUUUUAAUACCGCCAAAGAGGGGGCAAAGGGUGAGAAUCUACCCAUGGAAGUUUCUUCACUUUUCGGAAAGCUUGCUGAAACUCUUAGUGAAGAGGCACAUGUGUGUGAUACAAAAAUCACAUUCAUAAAUAAUGAUCUUCUGCCUGGUGAGGCCCUACAUAACCAUCCCUUAUACAUGGUGGGUCAAAUUCUAGGAAAGAAAAUCAAAAGAAUCUUGAUAGAUGAGGGGUCUGGAGUCAACAUUCUGCCUAUCUGCACGAUGAAAGAACUUGGCAUCGCUACUAGCGAACUGGAUGAAAGCUGUAUAAUGAUCCAAGGCUUCAAUCAAGGGGGCCAGAGGGCCAUGGGAUGUAUAAAGUUGGGGAUUCGUAUGGAUGAUUUUCAAUCAAACCCAUUAAUGCAUAUGAUCGAUGCCAAAACUUCAUAUAAUAUAUUGCUUGGUAGGCCUUGGGUGCAUGGGAAUAAAAUUAUCUCAUCCUCUUACAAUCAAUGCUUGAAGUACCUCGAAGGUGGAGUGGAAAGAAAGAUAGUUGCCGAUGAUAAGUCAUUCACUGAAGCUGAGUCACAUUUUGCCGAUGUAAAAUUCUACUUAAAAAAACAUGUUGUGGAUGAGAAAAGGGUUGAAGAUGUCACCAAGACCAAGUGUGAUGAUCUUGCAUCUAAGAAGGUCGCGGUGAUUGUCGAAAAAGUCGCCACCAAGAAGCCUCUCUCCACUUCAAAUAAAGAAGGUGUCGCUUCUACAAAAAAAAGGCAACUCCCAUUCUUCGUUACGUACCGAAGGUAAGGAAAGAAAAAGAUCACCCAUCAGAUUCCCAAGAUAAUGUGCUAAAGGGGCUAACUUUACAUAUCAGGAAGAUUCAUGCAAUAAAUCUAUCCUCAAGACUUCUUGAAGAGUCUGUGGCUCAAAAUCUGUCACAAGAUAUGACACUCCCUAUGAAACUUACGAAGGAUGGCUUCUAUCCAAAUGCAUACAAGCUAUUUAUAAAGGCUGGAUACAAUCCAAAUGAGCCAUCAAGGUUGGACAAACUUCCAUCAGAAGGUACGACCAGGCAGACACGUGAAGGACUAGGAUAACGCAGCCACCUCCAAUUCGCAUCUCCAUAAGAAGGGCUGUUAGAAACUACAUCACUGUAGAAGAAGAGUCUACUGCAUCCAACAAAAGGGCUUUUCCCUUUGACCGACUUGGAGAAUAAACUGCAAGAACUUCUGUGUUUGAAAGGUUAUGACCUCUAAAUAAGAAGGAAAACAACAAGUGUAAGAGGAAUCGUCAAAGCAAGAUGAUGCACUAUUUACUUAAAAUACAAAAAGAUUUCCAAAGUUUGAUUCCUUCUAGAAUGAAGUGACAGACGGAACUGGUAGUUUCAUAAAACGAGGUGCUAAAAUUAAAGGCGCACACUGUGGUUUAUACCAAGCAACGCGAAGAAGAUGAAGAGAGUUUUGGCUCCUCAUAUCAUGUUAUGACCCAGAACGAGAAAGAUGUCUCAUCUCAAAUAAAGGUUGAUGAUGAGAUAGAAGAUGCCUUUUGCUGUUAUCAUAUAUCCGUCAAUGACGAUUAUCCUCAAGAGGAGAAAGAUGCUGGAGAUACUCCAUCGUAACUUAAAUAAGGAGUAAAGUCCACAAUAGAUCCCUUGAAGAAUGUUAAUCUUGGAACCGAUGAAGAACCAAGACCAACUUACCUGAGUGCAUUUCUAGAAGUGGAGGAGAAAAUUACUUAUAUGGACAUACUCAAAGAAUAUAUGAAUGUCUUUGCCUGGAGCUAUAAGGAAAUGUCUGGCUUAGAUUCAAAAGUAGCGGUCCAUCAGUUGGCAGUCAAGAAUGGUGCCCGUCCUGUUAAGCAAGCCCAAAGAUGCUUUAGGACGGAGUUGGUUCCAUUGAUUAAAAAUGAAGUUAACAAACUCAUUGAAGCUGGCUUUAUUCAUGAAGUCAAAUAUCCCAUGUGGAUUUCAAGUAUUGUUCCAGUACGGAAGAAGAAUAGCCAAAUUUGAGUUUGUGUUGACUUUCAAGAUCUUAACAACGCAUGCCCUAAGGAUGAUUUUCCAAUCCUCAUACCGGAGUUAAUGAUUGAUGCCGCCACUAGUUAUGAGGCAAUGUCCUUCAUGGAUGGUUCAUCCGGCUACAAUCAAAUUCGUAUGGCGCCAAAGGAUGAAGAACUCACUGCAUUUCGUAUGCCUAAAGGUAUUUAUUGCUACAAGGUAAUGCCUUUUGGUUUGAAGAACGCCGGCGCCACUUAUCAAAGGGUUAUGCAGAACAUCUUUGAGGGCCUGCUCCAUAAAAAUAUUGAAUGAUAUGUGGAUGAUCUAGUGGUGAAGUCAAGAAAGAGAGAUGACCACUUAAAAGACCUAAGAAUGGUAUUUGAGUUAAUUCAAAGAUAUCAACUUAGGAUGAAUCCAUUAAAGUGUGCCUUUGGAGUUACUUCAGGAAAGUUUCUUGGCUUCAUUGUGCGAUACCGAAGAAUUGAAAUUAAUCAAGCCAAGGUUGAUGCAAUUUUAAAAAUGCCCAAACCUCAAAAUAUUUAUGAGUUAAAAAACCUUCAAGUAAGGCUUGCAUACUUAAGGAGGUUCAUCUCAAACCUGACCGAAAAAUGUCAACUAUUUAGUCGUCUCAUGAAGAAGGACACUUCAUUCGAGUGGGACCAAGCUUGUAGUAAUUCCUUUGAGAGUAUCAAAUCAUACUUAAUGAAGCCACCAGUUCUUGCGGCAUUCAUACCUGGGAAACCAUUGAUACUCUACAUCGUGACAUAAGAGAGGUCAUUUGGAGCACUACUGUCUCAAAAAAAUAGUGAAGACAAGGAAAACUCUCUUUACUAUUUGAGCAGAAUGAUGAAGCCGAAUGAGCUAAAGUAUUCUCCAAUUGAAAAGUUAUGUUUGGCAUUAGCCUUCUCGAUUCAAAAGAUAAAACACUACUUUCAGGCUCAUAUUGUCCGGCUUGUCUCUAGGGCAAAUCCUAUCAAGUUUGUAAUGUCGAAUUUAGUCCUUGGUGACCGACUUGCAAGAUGGUACCUUCAAUUUCUACAGUUUAAGAUUGUGUAUGUUCCCCAAAAGGCUGUAAAGGGACAAACAUUGGCUGACUACUUUGCAGACCACCCGAUACCUAAUGAUUGGGAACUAAGCGAUGAACUUUCUGAUGAAGAUGCAAUGGUUAUUGAAGCUAGAACCCCAUGAAAAAUGUACUUUGAUGGUGCUGCACAUCGAGAUGAAGCUGGUGCCGGUGUGGUGUUUGUCACUUCACGAGAAGAGGUCAUCCCAUACUCUUUUACACUUACAAACCAUUGCUCUAAUAAUGUCGCUGAAUAUUAAGCUUUAAUACUUGGACUUGAGAUGGCAGUUGACAUAAAACAACUGCAAUUACAAGUCUUUGGUGACUCCCAACUAGUGAUCAAGCAACUUUUGGAAAGCUAUGAAGUCAGAAAGCCUGAGCUACGACCAUAUCAUGAUUAUGCACAGAAUUUAAUGGGGUGGCUUGGAGAAGUAACCCUCCAACAUGUGCCAAGGAGAGAGAAUAAGCAAGCUGAUGCCCUAGCUUCUUUGGCCUCAACCCUGACCCUUCCAAAUCAAACACAAGUUACUGUCCUCCAAGAAUGGGUAGUACUGCCGUCAAAUGAGGAUGUGAAAAAUAAGGUUGAAUACCUCGUUGUCGUAUCUAAAGCUGUAAAAGAAGAUUGGUGACAACUUAUCAUUGAUUACUUAUGUUAUGGGAUACUUCCAGAAGAUCUAAGGAGAAAGACUGACAGUCGUCGUCGUGAACCUCGCUUCCUUUAUUACAAAGACACACUAUACAGAAGAUCAUUUGAAGGAGUACUCUUACGAUGUUUGGGAGAGGAAGAAGCAAUUCACGCUUUGCAAGAAGCGCACUCGGGAGUUCGUGGAUCACAUCAGUCUGGAUCGAAGCUCUAUUUUCAUGUUAAAAGGAUGGGAUAUUAUUGGCCAACAAUGGUGAAAGAUUGCUUGGACUAUGCUAGAAGAUGGAAAGCUUGUCAAUUCCAUGAAAAUUUCAUACAUCAACCUCCAGAGGUACUACACCCAACUAUAGCGUCUUGGUCAUUCAAUGCUUGGGGAAUGGAUGUUGUUGGUCCACUACCAAAAUCUUCUGGUGGACACUUAUACAUCUUGGCCGCGAUAGAUUACUUCUCAAAGUGGGCCGAAUCUGUUGCUCUCAAGGAAGUAAAGAAAGAAAAUAUUUCAAACUUCAUCCGAGUGAAUAUCGUCUACCGCUUUGGAAUUCCUCAGUACAUAAUAACUGACAAUGGAGAGCCAUUUGAUAACAAGCUGAUGAACAAAAUCUGUGAUCUCUUUGGCUUCAAGCAACACAAGUCUUCUAUGUACCAUGCUGCCGCCAACGGUCUAACUGAAGCCUACAAUAAAACUUUGUGCAACUUAUUAAAAAAAGUCAUCUCUAAAUCCAAACGAGACUGGCAUGAGCGGAUGAAAGAAACUUUGUGGGCGUAUAAGACAACUUACCAUACACCGAUGCAAGCAACCCCAUCCUCACAUGCUUUUGGAGUUGAAGUAGUUCUGCCACUUGAGCGUCAAAUACCUUCUUUGAGACUGGUCAUUCUAGAAGGGCUCACUGAUGAAGAAAAUGCUAAGUUGCGUUUUGCGGAGUUAGAAGCUCUUGGCGAGAAGAGGCUGGAGGCUCAACAAAAUUCUGAAUGUUAUCAAGCCCCGCUGUCUCAUUCUUUCAACAAAAGAGUUCGCUUAAGGUGCUUCCAAGUUGGAGAUCAAGUCCUUACAGUAAGAAGGCCCAUUAUCACUUCUCAUAAGUCUGGGGGCAAAUUCACCCCAAAGUGGGUGGACCAUAUGUCGUACAAGAGACAUAUUCAAACGGUGCUUACAAGAUUGUUGAUGCAGUUAGCGUGAGGAUUGGCCCUAUCAAUGCCAAGUUCUUGAAGAAGUACUAUCCUUAAAGGAAGAUAACACUCCUUAAGGCACGAGUAUAAACUACAUGUACACUCCUAAAAGCACGAGUAUAAACUGCAUGUAUACUCCUUAAGGCACGAGUAUAAACUACAUGUACACUCCUUAAGGCACGAGUAUAAACUGCAUGUACACUCUUUAAGGCACGAGUAUAAAUUUUAUGUACACUCCUUAAGGCACGAGUAUAAACUGCAUGUCCACUCCUGGCCCACAAGAGUAUAAACUGUGUAAGGCUUAAAAAAAAUCAGGCAAAUGUUCGCUAGGUUGAAAACCUCGAAAGAGGCGGCCUAAACAAAACUUAGGAGACACACACACACAAAAAAAAAUCAAGUAAAUGUCCGCUAGGUUGAAAACCUCAAAAGAGGGGGCCUAGGCAAAACUUAGGACACAAAAAAAAUACUCACCCAGAACUACGUUGUGACUUGAUCCUCUUUAUUGAGGUACGUAGGCGCUUGGAGUAUCAUUCUGAGUUCAGUUGCAUGAGCGUCAAAAAAAAUAUGUUCCUACAGUAUCUAUCAUAUGGAUACCCAGUAUGAAACUAUUCUAAUUAAAUUUUGGACUUACUCUAAAUAUCUGUGACUCAAUGGGGGCAACCCGUCGAAAAGAAAGAGAGUUUCUUCAAUGGGAUUUGGAAUGCCAAAGUUCUCCAAGCCUACAACUAGAAGGAUCUCAAAAUUUACAUGCCUUAAGGUGGACAAUAUUUGUUCGUUUUCACCUUAAGCGGGCCUCUAAUGAGUUUAUCCUUAAAGGAUAUCGAAAUUUCCAUGCCUUAAGGUGGACAAAAUUUGUCCCUUUGCAUCUUAAGCUGGCCUCUCGCGGGUUUAUCCCUAAAUAAUAUCAAAAUUUUCAUGCCUUAAGGUGGACAAGAUUUGUCUCUUUGCACCUUAAGUUGGCCUCUUGCGGGUUUAUUCUUAAAAAAAUAUAAAAUUUUCAUGUUUUAAGGUGGACAAAAUUUGUCCCUUUGCACCUUAAGCUGGCCUCUUACGUGUUUAUCCUUAAAAGGAUAUCAAAAUUUUCAUGUCUUAAGGUGGACAAGAUUUGUCUCUUUGCACCUUAAGUUGGCCUAUCGCGGGUUUAUCCUUAAAGGAUAUCAAAAUUUUCAUGCCUUAAGGUGGACAAAAUUUGUCCCAUUUGCACCUUAAGUUGGACUCUUACGUGUUUAUCCUUAAAAGGAUAUAAAAAUUUUCAUGCCUUAAGGUGGACAAAAUUUGUCUCUUUGCACCUUAAGCUGGCCUCUUACGUGUUUAUCCUUAAAAUGAUAUAAAAAAAAUUUCCAUGCCUUAAGGUGGACAAGAUUUGUCUCUUUGCACCUUAAGCUGGCCUCUCGCGGGUUUAUUCUUAAAAGGAUCCCAAAAUUUUCAUGCCUUAAGGUGGACGAAAUUUGUCCAUUUGCACCUUAAGUUGGCCUCUCAUGGGUUUAUCCUUAAAAAGAUAUCGGAAUUUUCAUGCCUUAAGGUGGAUAAGAUUUGUCCCUUUGCAUCUUAAGCUGGGAUUCUGAUGGAUUUGUUAUGUAAAGGGACCGUCUUCAAGCAAAUUUGGUCGGGUCUUGAGGUGGUGAAGCCUCGCACACCUUAAGCCAACGUCUAUCGUCUUCAAGCAAAAUUGAUCGGGUCUUGAGGUGGCGAAUCCUCGCAUACCUUAAGCCGACGUCCACCAUCUUUAAUAAAAAUUGGGCGGGUCUUGAGGUGAUGAAGCCUCGCACACCUUAAGCCGACGUCCGCCGUCUUCAAGAAAAAUUAGUCGGGUCUUGAGGUGACGAAGUCUCGCUCACUUUAAGCCGACGUCCACCGUCUUCAAGCAAAAUUAAUCGGGUGUUAAGGUGACGAAGCUUCGCACACUUUAAGCCGACGACUAUCGUCUUCAAUUAAUGAUUGCAUAUUAUUAUUUGUUUCAACCCUACAAAAAGAAAAAAAGGAAAAAAAAAAGAAAUUAAUAAAAAGAAAAAAAAUACCUCAAAUUAAUUCUUGAAGCUCGAAGAAGAGGAGUCUUUAGAGACUUUUAUAAGUUGAUGCUUUGCAUGAAAAAUCUUGGAGUUGGUGUGGGAAAAGCAAUUUUUUUUAUUAUAAUACUGAUUGGGAUGAUAAAAAAGACGGUGAGGCGGCAAAUUGUUUCAAGAUUAAGUAGUGUUUCAACGCUACCAAAAUAAGGAAAAGGAAAAGGAAAAGGUGACAUCACCUUUAGAUGUCAAAAGUCAACCAUGUUGAUAUUCCUAUAUACGUGAAUUAAUUUCACAAAUAAAAAAAUAUAUUUAAUUCAUGUUCAAUAAUUUUCUUUUUGGAUAUAUAUUGAUUCAUGAGAAUCAAACUCAAUACUUCAACACUAAUCUCUAAAAAAAGUUAAAUAUUUCAAUAAGUCUUGAAGUAGGGGCAUUUUGUAAGCAAUAAAAUUUUAUUAAUUUAACCCAUAUGAAAUUUGGAUUAUAUUAAAUUCAAAAUAUAUUAGUCCCAAAUAAAUAUUGCGGAUUAAUAUAAUUGAAUUUAUUAUUUAAGUCCAAACGUGUAUGGAUUUAAAUAAGGUCCAAUAUUUAUUAGACUAGCCCAAUAAUUUGGGCUACAAAUAAUGAGCCCACUUUACCGAGCCCAAGCUAUGGUCAUAUUCCAGAGGCUCAAAUAAACGUCACGUGUCAAAUGACGUGGCAUGUCAAGUCAAGUGAAGGAGCCAAUAGGACCAUGCAACAUGUCAAAAUGAUGCAACAGGCCCGUGAAAUAAAAGUUCAUAAAAAGGCGCCACAUCACUUAAAUUUGAUUGGUCAAAGGAAAUUCAUAUUCAUCAUGCCUCUUCCUUUACUACAACUAUAAAUAGAGGUUUCAUAAUUCAGAAAAGGGACCCCCCAGAUCUCUAACAAGUAGCAAGCGAAAGCUUGUGGAUCAAACGCCACAAUUUCUCUAAAAAGCUCAAGCAUUCAAAUUAAGUUCAUAAAGAUUCAAGAUCAAGACCGCAAUAUUCAAGAACAAGCUCAAAAGCCCUUGAAUUCAAGCACAAGUCAAGAUCAAGUGCCUCAAGUCCACAAACCAAGUUCAAAUUCAAGAUCAAACUUUAAACUCUUGAAUAUAUAUUUGAAAAGGCGAAUCAGAGGAUUCAUAGAGAUUGUAACACUCGCAUUGAAAUCAAUAAAAUUGAUUGUUGCAAUAUUUUCUUGUCUCGAAUUAUUAUUUAUUUUUCGAUCUCGAAAAUUUUAUUGUCCAACAAUAUACAUGGUUAAAAUUAUUUUUAUAAAUAUUAAGUAGAUGUCGAACCUCUUUCGGUUAGAUCGUAUGUUCACUUGUGAACCCCUCGCUGAAAAUCUUGACUCUGCCACUAUCUCUAUUAAUUUAUUAUUUUGUGGUAGUUUAUAGUUCGUAGAUGAAUCUCAACCGGCUUUAAAAAAAAUUUUCUGUGUAAAAUUUAAGUUUAAUUGUAUUAUUUUGAUAUCACAUUUAUGGUAUUAUUUUGUUGCAGUUUACAGUUAAUAAUUAAAUAUUGGUCGGCUUUGAAAAUAUUUUUUACGUAAAGAUUAAGUUUAGUUGUAUUAUUUUGAUAUCUUUAUUAUCGUAUUAUUUUAUUUUUGUUUACAGGUGAUAGAUGAGUGUCAAAAGACUUUGAGAAAAAUUUUGUGCGUAAAGAUUAUAUUUAAUUAUAUUAUUUGAUAUCUCUGUCAUUGUAUUGUUUUGUUGCAAUUUACAAAUGGUAAAUGAAUAUCGAUCGACUUUUUAAAAUAUUUUUGGUAAAUAUUAGGUUUAAUAAAUAAAUUCUUCAUCUUUACAUACUUAAAAUAUAUUAAAUUUAAUUAUUAUAUUUAUUUUUAUUAUUUAAAUAAAUAUCCUAUUUAAUGUAAUAUUUGNNNNNNNNNNNNNNNNNNNNNNNNNNNNNNNNNNNNNNNNNNNNNNNNNNNNNNNNNNNNNNNNNNNNNNNNNNNNNNNNNNNNNNNNNNNNNNNNNNNNNNNNNNNNNNNNNNNNNNNNNNNNNNNNNNNNNNNNNNNNNNNNNNNNNNNNNNNNNNNNNNNNNNNNNNNNNNNNNNNNNNNNNNNNNNNNNNNNNNNNNNNNNNNNNNNNNNNNNNNNNNNNNNNNNNNNNNNNNNNNNNNNNNNNNNNNNNNNNNNNNNNNNNNNNNNNNNNNNNNNNNNNNNNNNNNNNNNNNNNNNNNNNNNNNNNNNNNNNNNNNNNNNNNNNNNNNNNNNNNNNNNNNNNNNNNNNNNNNNNNNNNNNNNNNNNNNNNNNNNNNNNNNNNNNNNNNNNNNNNNNNNNNNNNNNNNNNNNNNNNNNNNNNNNNNNNNNNNNNNNNNNNNNNNNNNNNNNNNNNNNNNNNNNNNNNNNNNNNNNNNNNNNNNNNNNNNNNNNNNNNNNNNNNNNNNNNNNNNNNNNNNNNNNNNNNNNNNNNNNNNNNNNNNNNNNNNNNNNNNNNNNNNNNNNNNNNNNNNNNNNNNNNNNNNNNNNNNNNNNNNNNNNNNNNNNNNNNNNNNNNNNNNNNNNNNNNNNNNNNNNNNNNNNNNNNNNNNNNNNNNNNNNNNNNNNNNNNNNNNNNNNNNNNNNNNNNNNNNNNNNNNNNNNNNNNNNNNNNNNNNNNNNNNNNNNNNNNNNNNNNNNNNNNNNNNNNNNNNNNNNNNNNNNNNNNNNNNNNNNNNNNNNNNNNNNNNNNNNNNNNNNNNNNNNNNNNNNNNNNNNNNNNNNNNNNNNNNNNNNNNNNNNNNNNNNNNNNNNNNNNNNNNNNNNNNNNNNNNNNNNNNNNNNNNNNNNNNNNNNNNNNNNNNNNNNNNNNNNNNNNNNNNNNNNNNNNNNNNNNNNNNNNNNNNNNNNNNNNNNNNNNNNNNNNNNNNNNNNNNNNNNNNNNNNNNNNNNNNNNNNNNNNNNNNNNNNNNNNNNNNNNNNNNNNNNNNNNNNNNNNNNNNNNNNNNNNNNNNNNNNNNNNNNNNNNNNNNNNNNNNNNNNNNNNNNNNNNNNNNNNNNNNNNNNNNNNNNNNNNNNNNNNNNNNNNNNNNNNNNNNNNNNNNNNNNNNNNNNNNNNNNNNNNNNNNNNNNNNNNNNNNNNNNNNNNNNNNNNNNNNNNNNNNNNNNNNNNNNUUUAAAAUAAUUUUAGAAUUAUUUUUUAAUAAUUUCCUCAAUGCCAUUUUUAUAUAUAUAUAUAUAUUUUUAAAAUUAUAAUUUAUUUUUAAUAAUUAUUGGACCCACAAUGCCAUGUGUCAGCUUCUACUUAGCUUGUUUUGCCAUGUCAUCGCGUGUAUGUAAUACACACUUUGAGCUUUUUUCUGAUAGGGAAAAAAAUAUCUGAUUGGAACAAAAUUUGGAUGAGGGAUGUAAGUAAAUGUUUGCAAUAAAUUUGAGUUCCGUCGAUAACUUUGCCAAAAAAACAAACAAACUAUAGAGAUGUGCAAUUGAAAUAUAGCAAAUAUUGAAAGAGAGCCAAGUGUUAAAUGUACCUGGCUAUGUAUGAAGCCAAAUGCAUGAACAUGGGACUUCACAUGCCAAACAAGUCGAAGUGUGUAUCUAGAUAGACACUGUACGUAUUAAUGUACAUUCUAUUGACAGAUAAUUACAAAUCUCAUGUCAUGGCUCAACAAUCAACCAAACGGCCCUUGAAAAUCAUCGCCGGCGCCGAUUCCUUCGGCUGCGACCUCAAAGACACCUUACUCUCUCAGCUCCGCCAUCUCAACAUCCAAGUCGAAGACCUCGGCACCGACAAAUACUACUCUGUCGGCGCGGAAAUCGGCCGACGAAUUAGCCAAGCUGCUGACGACCCUGCUAUUGAAACCCGAGGACUCGUUGCUUGUGGUACCGGCGUCGGAGUCGCUAUCUUUGCUAAUAAGUUCCCCGGUGUCUAUGCUGCCACGUGUCUCAACCCUGAUGAAGCACGUAACGCUCGUUCCAUCAAUAAUUGCAAUGUCCUCGCCGUCUCCGGCAUGAAUACUACGCCGGAAGUGGCUUCCGAAGUUCUCAAGACGUUUCUAGAAACUCCGUUCAAGUCUCCUUGCCCCGCCUCUGGAUCAAACCCUUGGCCCGAUGAGAUCGCCCAAUUUUUAGAAAAUUCGGUUCGUGAAAUGAACAAAAUUGGUACUCACCGUCCAUCUGUAAUUUGUACUAUAUAUUAAAAUUAAAGUCGCCACCAUUUGACUAGGCGGUCACGUUUUCAAGCUGCCUUAUGGUGGGACCCUCUUAGGAUCCUGUGCAGUGCGGGAGCUUUAAUGCUCUGAGACUGUCCUUUUAGUUGUCAGAUAUUUUAUCAUUUUUGUGUCUAUUUUACCCUUGUUGUAGGGGCGGAGCUAGCAUAUACUCAGGGUUACCCUUUGACGAAAACUUACAAUAUAACCUCCUUCGGUUACUUUGCGCGUGCACUUUUGAAACCUUUAAUAAAAAUCUUGGCUCUGCCACUGUAAUUACCUUUUUGCUUAUUGUUUCUGUAGGGAUGGGCCAAGUCGAACGUGCAGAAGUAAAGCUGGACGGAGGGAGUACUACGGAACCAGGGGACUGUCAUCUUUGUUCAUUGGUGAAGGGCAGAGAAUUUAAGCCCGUGGACAUAAUGCCUGGUGGUUCAAUUCUGAUAGUAAGGGAGAGCCCAACUUCAGCAUUUGUGCGGUUCACUGCAGGGAGCGUUGAGCCGGCGCAUCAUCAUACAUUCGGGCAUGAUCUUGUGGUGUUAAAAGGGAGUAAAAGGGUGUGGAAUUUGAGUAAAGGGGAGAAAUAUGAUUUGGGUGUUGGUGAUUACUUGUUUACUCCAGCUGGGGAUGUGCAUAGAGUGAAGUAUUUUGAGGAUACAGACUUCUUUAUCAAGUGGGAAGGGCAGUGGGACUUGUUGCUGGAUGAGGAUCAUGCUGCUGCCAAUGCUGCAAUUGAUAAGGAAAUGGAGAAUUGACUGAGAUCAAGUGAGUGCAAUGUUUUAAGUACCUACUAGACUUGUUUUUGCAUGUAUAUUGCGUACUAAUUAGAGUUAAUGCAAUAUUAUAAUAGGUGCUUCAAAAAGUACUACUAUUAUUAUACUCAAGAACCCAUGCUAGGAGCAAAGAAAUACUAAUUUAAUUAAGGGGAUUUUAAAAAAUACAAGCAUUUUGCUAGAAAACUCACGCAUAAUUACCACUGUAUUCGAUGUACGGCUGCUGUAUUCGGUUUUAUAGAUAGUAUGUAUUCAUAUAAAAUAUGAAUACAGUCCCUAUUUAGCCGCUAUAUUCAAUUCAUAGCUGAUGUAUUCACUUUUGCUUAGUGAUCUGUAUUUAUAAAAACAUAAAUACACUACAUAUUUAGUCUCGCAAAAAACAUUAUCAUUUUUUUCUUUUUCAUUUUCUUAUAUUUUUUCUUUUGUCGAGUUUUCCUCGUUUUUUCUUCUUCUUUUUCUAUUUUUUCCAAUUUUUAUUUUUUUCAUUUUUUUCUUCUCUUCUAUCUCUAACUUCCAUUUCUUUUUCUUUUCUUUUCUUCUUUAUUUUUUUAAAUUUUUUUUGUAUUUAUUUUCUUUAUCAUUUUUUCUUCUAUUUUAUAUUUUUUGUAUUUUCAAAAAAUAUGACUACUCGAGCACAAGUCAUGGAUGGUAACGUAAAUACCACAAUUAUUUAUCAUAUUUGUAGUCACGCCGUCAUUUAUAUUUUUGUAUUCGUUGAUACAACUGCAUUUGUAUUUGUAUUCUAAAGUUCACGUUUGUAUUUGUAUUUUGUAGUUCGUAUUAUAUUUGUAUUUUAUAAUUCACACUUAUAUUUGUAUUUUUUAGUUCGCACUAUCAUUUAUAUUUUAUAUAAUUCGCACUUAUAUUUUAAAAUUAUUUUGUAUUUGUAUUUUAUAAUUGAUUGUAUAUUAUAUUGAAAUAUAUUUGUAUUGUGGUUUUAUUGUGUUUGCAUAUUUAGAUUAUAUUUGUAUUUGGAUUCUAUUUUCGUCGAUGUCUUUUUAUUUCGAAAGAAUUAUUUUGUAUUUGUAUUUAUAAGUUUAUUGCAUAUUGUAUUUAGUCGUUACUAUGUACAAUUUGUAUUCUAUUUUCGUCAAUGUAUUUGUAUUUUUAAAGAAUUAUUUUAUAUUUGUAUUUAUAAGUUCAUCGUAUAUUGUAUUUGUAAUUUCAUUUGUUUGUAUUUGAAUUUGUAGUUGACAACAUCAUUUGUAUCUUUAAUCAUUAGAAAAAAAUUAUUAUUUUUCUUUCUAUGAAGACUUGUAUUUACAUUUAUUGAUACAAUUUGCAUCAUAAUGAAAAUAAAAAUAAUAAAUUAUACAAAUACAAAUGUUACAUUUGUAUCAAUGACACAUGUUUAUACAACUGGAACCAUAUGCAUACAAAAUGAUACUUGUUUAUAUACAAAUAUAAAUGAUAAAUUUGAAAUACGAAACACAAUGAUAUAUUUGCAUUGAAAGACAGUUGCAUAUUUAUGUAUUUUAGUCUUAAGCAAAUACAAUUAAUCAAUAUACUUAUUUAUAUACAAAAAUACGAAUGAUAAUUUAUACAUAUUGACAACUAAACUAUUCAACUACAAAUAAUAAAUUUAUUUAAAAUACAUAAUAUGAUACAAAAAAAUAUAAAAUAUAACAACAAACGAAAAAAAUAUAAAAAAAUAAAAAAUGACCAAAAAAAUAAAAAAGAACGAAAAAAGAAUCAAAGAAAAUGCAAAAGAAAAAAUAGACUGCAAAAAAAAGAAAUAUAGAAAAAGAUGAAAAAAUAGAAAGAAAAUAUGAUUUAGGCUACAAUUAUGGUAGCUGUAACUGUAAGGCUACAAAAAUAAAUGAAUAAAAAAUAAAAAUAAAAAAUAAAAAAUAAAGAGAAAGCAACAAAAAAAAAGGAAAAAAAAAACGGAAGAAAAAAAAAAGAGAAUAAUAGAAAAUAGAAAAAGAGAGAAAAUAUUGACAACUAAACUAUUCAACUACAAAUAAUAAAUUUAUUUAAAAUACAUAGUUUGAUACAAAAAAGUAUAAAAUAUAAAAUACAAAAACAAACGAAAAAAAUAUAAAAAAUAAAAAAGGAGAAAAAAUGACCAAAAAAAUAAAAAAGAACGAAAAAAGAAUCAAAGAAAAUGCAACUGCAAAAGAAAUAUAGAAAAAGAUGAAAAAAUAGAAAGAAAAUAUGAUUUAGGUCACAAUUAUGGUAGCGUGUAACUGUAAGGCUACAAAAAUAAAUGAAUAAAAAUUAAAAAGAAAAAAGAAAAAAGAAAAAAGUGAAAAAAUAAAAAUUAAAGAGAAAGCAACAAAAAAAGUAAAAAAAGAAGAAGAAGAGAAUAAUAGAAAAUAGAAAAAGAGAGAAAAAACUAUGAAUUGUAAUUAGGAAUAAUUAAUAGGCAAGAGAGGGCUAUGAAUUGUAAUUAAUUGAAAAUUAGGCUUUAAAUGGUAAUAAAAGCCCAAUAAUAGCUAAUCCGGGUAAUUUUCCCUUUAAUUAAAUGAAAGAUUUUGUGUUUAGGGUAAGUCAAAUCUUUGACUUGCGGAUCUUAUAUUAAUAAAUGGGUGCUAAACUAUAUUCAACUACAUAAAACUGUGAAAGGAACAAACAAAUGAAGAUUAGGAAAUGGACUCUUGGAAUAGAAAACUAAAACCGUAAGAAACUCUUUGCUGAAGGUUGGUAUUUAUGUUAUUUAUACAUAAUUUAUAGCGGCUCCUGGUUCACCUCAAACUUGGUUAUUUGUAAUGGGUUAUUCGAGUCAAUCCCAUAUUGGGUCAGCCCUUAAUUUUUGCCCUUCAAAAUUUGUGAUCUUUAAUUUUGGUCCUUCACGUUAAGUAACAAAGAAAUGGUUGAAAAUACUUUGAAUAAUUAAGUUUAUAUUUUUGUAUCAUGAUAUAACACAAGUUAUACGGCUUAAGUCCUACAUAACUUACGUGGAUAGAGGCAUAAGUUCAGUUCAAAACCCAUAAGUCAUGCCGUAGUAUGUCGGCAGAGGCAUAAGUUCAGUUUCUGAACCCACAAGUUACGUCGUAAGAAAAGUUCUCUAAACUUAUGUCGAGCGAAAUUAGGUCAUAGAUAUGGGCACUUUAGCCCAUAUUUUUUCACUAAAUGCGCAGCAGGAGCCAAAAAUGAAGUCCGUCAUAUUGAAGACAAAAAUUAAGAGCUCUCUGAGAUAUAGGCAUCUGUGCCAAAGACUUGAUUCAUCUUCUCCACGGAGUUCUUUUUAAAUGAUAUCUUUAAGGUGAAAGAUGAGAUAUAAUGUGAUAGGUAGUGAUUGGGUAUGUCGAUGUACUCGUUCGGGUUGAUUUCCUUCGUUAAAAGACAAGCUAGUUGUGGUACUUGACAGUUUUGUUUAUUUGUAGCCUUUGUUGUUCCUAUGUAAUCUUCAAAUGAACAUGUCUGUGGUGGUGGGAGACGACUGUUUCUAUAUAAACAAAUGCUUCUGAGUUUCAUCUCCUCUUAUUUUACUACUAGUUGUUUGUGUCAACUUAGCAGUGCUUAUGAUUGUCUUCUUGUGCGCUGAUUGCAUUGCUACAAUGUCAGUUGCACUUGCAGGUAUAGUGCUGCACACACUUUUUUGGACUGUACAAUCAGAUGUAAAGUAUGAGGUUAUGUGGUGUAUGGUUAAUGUGCAAUAUAAUAUUGCGCCAUGUGUUG
rnacentral:lncRNA from 1 species